rnacentral:lncRNA from 1 species
UUUUUUUUGCGUGCAUCACUGUACUAACUUCGUCUUCCAUUUUAUGUAGGAUGCUAAUUCAGACGUGCCGACGAGAGGUGUACCUACAUAUUGGCUUCAUGGAUCCAUCCGUAGUUAACCAAAAACAGAUACAAUUAUCGACAGAAAAAACCUUGGUGGAAGUAUAAAAUUUCCUAGACAAACAAACAUUCAAGGAUUUCAUACUACUUCCAUACAACUUCAAGUAAGUGUGUGUAUACUGUCUACUUUCGUUGUCUUUUUCCUUACCUGAUUAAUGUUAGUUAGCUCUAAUAUACAUGAACAUUUUAUGUACGCAGCUUCCACUGGAUCCUUAUUAUAAUUGAGCCUGAAAGAAGCCACGUCACUGUCUUCGAUUCGUUGAGGAAAGAUCUGGUGGAGUACCAAGACAUACAAGACAUGCUAGGCUUGUAAUAAUUCUGGACCUUUAUCUCUAUGUAAAAGUUUGUUUCCUAAAUUUUAUCCCUGUUACACUAUAUCAUUCAUUAUUCUAAUCUGCAGCGCAUGGAAACAAUUCAUAAGGACACACAAAGGUCCAUUCAAAGAAAAACUUACAUGGAACAAAGACUUCCCAGUACGUAUGAAGUAUGCACAUUUAGUACAUUGUAUAACACGAAUAUUUCAUAACUUAUUUUUUUCCGCACUGAAGUGCUUAAGACAGGAACCCGGAAAUAAUCUAUGUGGCUACUACAUCUGUGAGCACAUGCACAGUUUUAUGGGACCCAAGGGACUAAAGAUGACAUCGCACAAUUAAAGUAUGUAAAAUAAAACUAUUACUAGUUAAUUAUUUUCUAGCUCCUUAUAUUUAAUUGUUUGUGUAACAUUCACAAAUUUCCAAAUUAUAGAUGUUAAAUAUUCAACAAGCACUCUUGAAGGAAGAAAGAGUAGCGGCAAUAUGUGAAGGUCUCAUUGGAUUCCUAAUGGACGAGGUGGUAAAUCCAAAAGGAGAAUUUUAUUACAAUGGACGACAAUUAGACGCUCCCAGCAACACCUUGACGGGAUUGUAGACAUAUAGUUUGAUUUAUUUGUAUAUAUAAUACGCGCUAAUGAAGAUCGAUUUGUACUAGUUGAAUUGUGUAUAUAUAUAUAGUAAUUGUAUAAUUACAAAUUUCAUUCAUUUAAAUACUAGUUGAUUUCAUUAUAAAAAAAAUCUCAACUACUAAAGGUUAACAAAAGGGUCACGGUACUACGUACGUGAUGCAUGAAAAUUUCAGGCGCCAUGUAGGGUGCCAUUUAGUCCUGGUUGGGAAAGCCAACCGAGACUAAAGGGUAACCCUUUACUCCCGGUUGGGAAACCCAACCGGGACUAAAGGGGCACCCUUUACUGCCGGUUGCUUUUACCAACCGGGAGUAAAGGGCCUAUCCCGCGCCUAGCGUGGCAGGCCCUUUAGUCUCGGUUGGUGACACCAACCGGGACUAAAGGGUGACCUUUAGUCCCGGUUGAAAGACCCGAGACUAAAGACCCCCCCCCUUUUGUCCCGGUUGGUUUAUCCCGGAUGGAUUUUCAGGAGAUAUGCACCCUACCAAUCGGGACUAAAGGCCAAUUCUCUACUAGUGAAAUAUACAUUUUUAUAUUAUGGGGACGUAAGUGACACAUCCGGACAAGUUUAUGGACCGGUGAUGCAUUUUACUCUUAUAUAUAUCAAGCAUCCCAUAUCUUGAUAUUGAUCCAUAGUUUGGUUGCCAGCAAAUGGAGCAUGAUCGGUGUCAAGUGUUGACUACUAUCAAAUAGUAGAGUCUUCUUACAACUCCAUGCAUUUAUGCUACUCCCUCUGUUUCAGGGCCUGUUUGGAACGAAGGAUUGUGAAACGGCGGAAUUUAUGCUACUAUCAAAUAGGAAUGUUGAGAUAUAUGAUCUUAUUUCUGAAUUAAAAAUUAUGAAAUUCACUUUGCCAGAUGGCGUAAUGUCUACUAUGAAGAUUUUUGAGCAUGUUAGAGAUGUGGAUUGUUAUCCUAAUGUCUCCAUUGCUUACCACUCUUAUUUAUUGUGCCUGUGACUAUCGCAUCGACUGAAAGAAGCUUUUCAAAGUUGAAGUUAUUGAAGAACUAUUUGAAGUCAACAAUGACUUAAGAGAGGUUAAAUGGUUUGGUAACAUUAUGCAUCAAGAAGAAAUUGUUGGAUGAGAUUGACAUCAACCCUAUUAUAAGUGACUUUACAUCGAGGACUGUUAGAAGAAACUUUUAAGAUAAUAUGUAUAAAUAAUUUGAUAUGAAUAUUACUUUUAGAUACAUUUAAGUAUUUAUUGGUAACAUUUCAUAUAUAUUUGUUAUAAUGUUUAUAUUAAAGGGUCCGACUUUUAUUUUCCGCCCGAACCUCCCAAAUCUCAGAACCGGCCCUACACCCUGUCCACCAUAUCUAUUAAGUUGAUAGAAGCACAGUUGUCCAAAUCAAAAGUUAUAGGAUCUGAUAAGACCUAUGGUAAAGGUGAGGCCACCAAUUUUUUGUACGGGGCUCAAGACAUGCUGCGAACUGCGAAGGAGACAGCAACAGAAGUGAGCAGCAGGAGGAGCGAGAGCCAACCAAGAUGAGUUCCCUUGGGUUGGAGUGGGUGUUUUAUUUCCUACUUUUUACACUACAUCGAGCGUUCCCUUUCCUCUGGAACGGAACUCGUCUUUCCUUCGUUCUAAACGCGACAAUGCAAUUCCUUUCCUCCAGAAGGCAUUCCUCCAAAAUUCCUGUGAAAAUUUGAUCCAGACGGGGCCUGAAAAUAUAUGAUGCUAGGACAAUGCAAGGUAAUAAUGAGUACAUAAAUUCAUGUUACUGAUUACCACAUAAUCAAUGGGAAUGAUUGUUAGUACCUUUUACCAUCUUUAAUGUUCCAUUUGUUGAUUAGAGAGAUCCAAGCCAUUUGGAAGAGGAGAUGGUAUCCAAAAAGAAGAACAAUGGCAUGAAAUCUUUUGGCGACUCAUGCUUUCAUCAACGUGGAAAAUGUCACAUUUUUGUGUUGUUGGAAACACAGAUGCAAUAUUUUCAGCCAAGCUUGUAUUCGGAGAUGUAUACAGAGUUGAAAAAUGAUCUCCCAUAUAUGAUGCCCAUAGUGGUCAUAUGUCAUUGCGGAUGCAACUUCUUUAGUGUAGUAAUGCUCGUCAAGUUUCAAACACCUUUAUCUUGAGAAAUCUAUUGAUACCUCUCUCACUCAUUUCACGAAGAUUUGGAAGAUGUGAUUUUUAAUUUUUAUAGAGUAAAAUGCAUGGGCAGCCCUCAAACUUGAUUUUUAAUUUUUAUAGAGUAAAAUGCAUGGGCAGCCCUCAAACUUGUCACAAGUGGCCAUCUAGGUCCACAAACUUGCAGAUUAAAUAAGUGUGUCCUUCAAAUUGCCUCGGGGUGCCAUCUAAGUCCAUAAUCUUGCAGUUUGAGGACCGUUAGUGGAUUUUACUCAUUUUUACAUUUUGAAGUAUUGAAAUAAACCACCCUUUAUUGAUGUUCUACCAUAAUGAGCAUAAAUAAUGAAUGCGCGAUAAAUCUUAAAAUGCCAAAGAGCAAAAACGGAACCACUCAUUUUCUAGGCCUGAGCAUUUGUGAUCAUUACAAAUCAUGAUAUAAUAUCCCAUUUAAUGGCUUGUUUGGGAGUAGUGGAUUGAAGUGGAAUAGGAGGGAUUGGUGAAGUAAAUUAGUUCAUUUUAGACUCGAACCUUUUCGUUCCACUCCAAUUCUGUAUUAUCCAAACAAGCACUUAAGGAAUUGGAUCAUGUGAAAGAUACCCAAUAGACACCAAGUUUUGGUGCUUGAAACUCCUCAAUCCAUAACACCUUGUCAGAAAAGGCGGAUAGGACUGAAAUUGUGAAGUACUCCUAUCUUCAUAUUAUUUAUAAGACAAAAACACAUGUUGGCAUACUACUAUAUAUAGAGCCAAUGCAACCAAUAGCAGCAUCCAGCAGCAAGCUCGUCCACAUGGCAGAUCACAAAAAAAUGGCACUAGUUCUGGCCAUCUUGUGCUUCUUGUGCGGCAACGCCAUCCUCCCUUCAUCAGCCUCCUCUGAUUCCUUCCUCCAAUGCCUCACGUCGAUGAUGCCGAGCGAGCUGGUGUACCAGCAGAGCUCGAGCGGCUUCAUGUCCGUGCUGCAGUCCUCCAUCCAGAACCCCAAAUUCCUGACCAACACCACGGUGCGCCCUCUAUGCAUCGUCACUGCCUCCGACGUCUCCCACGUCCAGGCCGCCGUACGCUGCGGCCGCUGGCACGGCGUGCGCCUCCGAGUUCGCAGCGGCGGGCACGACUACGAGGGCCUGUCCUACCGCUCCGUCCAGCCCGAGGUGUUCGCGGUGCUCGACCUCGCCAGGCUCCGCGGCGUGCGCGUCGUGCCCGGGGAGGGCAGCGCCUGGGUAGACGCCGGCACGACGCUGGGCGAGCUCUACUACGCCGUGGGCACUGCAAACCCGGGGUUCCUGUUCCCCGGCGGCGCGUGCGCGACGGUCGGCGUCAGCGGCUUCAUCAGCGGCGGCGGCAUCGGCCUGAUGAUGCGCAAGUACGGCGUCGGCGGCGACAACGUCCUCGACGCAAGGAUCGUCAAUGCCGCUGGCGACGUCCUCGACCGCGCCGCCAUGGGGGAGGACCUCUUCUGGGCCAUCCGCGGCGGCGGCGGUGAGAGCUUCGGCGUCGUCGUGGCGUGGCGGCUGAAGCUCUCCGCGGUCCCGCCGACGGUGACCGUGGUGAACAACCUCAGGACCAUGGAGCAGGGCGUCGCCUACCUCCUCGCCAAGUGGGAGACUACCAUCCUUUCCCCAUCCCUCCCGGCCGACCUCACCAUCCGCGUCGUCCUGCAAGAGCGGCACGCCUUCUUCCAGACGCUCUACCUCGGCCGUUGCUCGGAACUCCUAGCCACGGCGCGCGGCGUCUUCCCGGAGCUCGGCAUGACGGCCGCCGACUGCAACGAGAUGUCCUGGCUGCGCGCCAUGGCGUUCAUCUACUUCGGCAACGCCGCCACGCCGCCGGAGGCGCUCCUCAACCGGACCAACAGCCUGGGCACCUACUUCAAGAGCAAGUCCGACUACGUGCGCCGCGCCGUCGGGAAGGCAGGAUGGGACGCCCUCUUCCAGCAAUGGCUCUCGAAGAACGGCAACGGGCUCAUGAUCCUGGAGCCGCACGGCGGGGCCGUCGGCGGCGCCAACACGGCCACGACGUCGCCGUACCCGCACAGGCGUGGCGUGCUGUUCAACAUCCAGUACGGGUCCAUGUGGUGGGGCGAGGCCAACGGAACCGCAGCGGCGGCGGCGCUCCGGUGGCUGGACGGGCUCUACGGGUUCCUGGGGCAGUACGCGACCAGCAAUCCCAGGGAGGCGUUCGCCAACUACCGGGACCUGGACCUCGGCCAGAACGUUGUCGGCCGGGACGGCGUGUCGUCGUACCGGAGCGGGAGGGUGUGGGCGGAGAAGUACUUCAUGGGGAACUACCGGCGGCUGGCGGCAGUGAAGGCGAUGGUGGAUCCCAGCGACUACUUCAGGAACGAGCAGAGCAUCCCGCCACUCCCAAAGUUCUAGACUUGUCGAUUGGGAGACGGUUUAUGUAUCCAAAGGGAACCUUGCUCAUUGUCACGAGUUUCCUUUUCGUUAUGGUGAAAAAAACAAUUAAUCAACAUCAUGUGCUUCUGCACUGACUAGCAGAAAUAAGCGUUAGAGUUUUGUGCAUUAUUUUGGGAUUCAUAGUGAAUGGAAAUUGCGUAUCUUUACUCGCUCUGGCAUGUUCAUUUUCUAACAUAGUAGGUAGUACACACAUAAAUACUUUGCAGCCUUUUUAAAAGUUGUUUGAAUUUGGUUAUAAAUUGCUAUAUGUUUUUCAUUUUUUUAAUGGUCGGGGAGAGCAUCCCCACCUAAAUUAUAUUGAUAAGGUGUGGCAGACGAUGAAUCAAUGACCUCGUUUUUCAGGGAAACGAUGCAAAAAAUCCUACAGCUCUCGGUUAAUUCAGGAAACCGAGCUAAAACCACAAUAAGAUACUUAGCUAGACCAGGUCUUAACCAACACAAAGCCUCAACACAAGAGUGAAAUUAUGGUAUAACCAUAAAUAAGAAAACAGCAUAAUCCGGCACAACGGUGAAAGCAUAGCAUGACCACAUAUCACAACACAACGAGGAUUUUCCAAGAUGAUGACCAUAUCAAAGACACGGUGCUACUAGUGGCGUCAUUGCCGGCCCAAGAAUUGGGCUGGGUUUUCACCUUGAAAUCUAUAGCAGUAGUACCUGAACAAAGGCACCUCCAUGGAGGAAACAUGCCCACUAGCGCCGCUGUCGAAAGCUUUUGCCAUCAACCUCCGCCAAACCAAUGUUUUUGCUGCAUAUCAGUUGUUAUCCAAGCACAAUAAUACCUUGCAAGCAUGGUGAUCUCUCAGCCAGACUAAGGAAUGAGUCACCGCCAUCGUAGCAUGGUGGAAGCAACGGACUGAAUAGCCGGGGACAGGCAGGCCACAGCUUGGGCACUGCCGUACAGCCAUUGUUUGAGCUCUCAGUUUCAACAGUUCGCAUGAACAGAAAGGCACAAUGCGAUAAAGAUCCCAUGCUGCAUGGACAUCCGUAGCAAUGCCUCCAUGACGCGGAGCAAACACCACCUCAAACGCGCACAAUAAUGUGCUCUGCGGCCGGCCAAUCGGAUGCACGACUAAGAGUGGCCCCUAGUGCCGUUGCAGCUUCCAUGGGCACCAUAACCCAUCAUGAAGAUCCAAAAAUGCAUAGCCCUACACUAAUACAUAUAUGGUCAUCCCUGCUGGAGCAUCACCGCAGGUUUCAGCUGAACUGGCAGUGAUGUCAUUUUACCACCAGUUAAUCGGUUGGUAGGUUCUAUGGACGUUGGAACCAGCAGUGAAAACAGAUAUCACCCCCGAUUCUGACCAUGGUUCGGUGAAUAUGAAUCCAUGUACCCGAAACAUUUAUCAAAUAUCAUUUGCAGGCUUCGUGUCUGUCCGCAACUUCUCUCUCCCCUAGCCUAGCCUUACUUUAUAUGCUUUUCUGUCUCCCUGCCUCCCCAGCCAUAAGCACCUGAACAGCCUCGUCCUCAUCUCCUGUUCCCUCUUCAUCUCCUUUCUCUCCCUCUCCUGGGCGACGGCGGCCGGAUCUCUUUGCUGCCCCAUCCGCUCCCCCUCUGCUGCCCCUCCCCUCCCCCUCCACUCUCCCCUCAGAGAGCCGCUCGCGACGGCAGUGAGGAGCAACGGUAGGGCAAGGUGGGGAGGCAGCCCUUGGGGUGGGACUGAGGCACAAAGGCUGCGGGGCAUCAGCAGGCAAGGCCGUGGAGGUGGGCAAUGUGGGGCCACAGUGCGCAUCUAUCUUCCUCCCUCCCUCCCUCCCUCUUUCUCCCCGUGUCUCUUUUGUUGUUUUCAUUUUUGUUGGGAUGAGUUUUAUAUUUUUGUUGUUUUUUAAUGCACUCUCACUGCUGGUUCUCCCUCUUUUGGUGAAGGAUAUGCCCAUCAUCACCGACCCUUUGCCAACGACGUCCAAAACCGAUAGUAAUGUCAUUUUUGAACCCGAUGUUGAUAGGACCUUCUCCAGUAGUGCUAUGCAGGCAUACACACAUGAAAUGCAAGUUGGCACACAUCAUGCAUGUAUACUUUGAGUCAUGUUAGUUGGGGGAACAAAACAUGGCUUUAGAACUAGGGGAUAUAGGAAGGAGGCAGAUGCAGGAAGAACGCGGGGCUCCGAAAGGCUUUCCUGAAUCAAGGAGACACCAUACCAUGAUAACGAAGCAUACAUAUACGAGAAGACUAUAGAGGACAUAAGUGACAAGCUCCUACGUGCCGACCGUACAAGGCAUAAAAUUAUAAUCUAGUAGGACCUUAGGUCCUCACAUAGGCCUAUAAAUAUAUGGCACGAUAAGGAGAUGGAUGCAGGAAAGCCGUGGGGCUCUGGAAGGAAUCUCUUGAAGGAGGCUAAUGGUAAAAAAGACCACGACACAAGAAAGCUCACGACACCGAGAGAUUUCGAUAUUUGACACCAGAUUUGCACGCUUCACUGAAUGUGACAUAGAAUUCGUAUGCUUUUCAAAAAUUGACAUCAUGCACACGAAUUUCUUCGAUUCGGGGGAUUAUCCCCCUUCCCUCUAUUUCCUUUUUCUUUUCUUUUUCCAGCAUCAUUGAUUGGAUUAGGAGGAGGUGACGAGAUGCGCAUCCGUGAGCUCGCCUCCUCCCGUACGCAAAGAACAGGUGGCGCUGCUGCUAGGAUUCACUGAAAGGAGGGCUGCCAGCAGAUGUUGAUGCCUAAAACUGCUUGAACGGAUGCCAUGGGUGGACGCUGCUGGAGCUGCUCGCUCUUUCUCUUGCCGCCGCCGUCGCGGGUACUUCCUCGAUCCCCUCUUUCUGUCGCCGCUGGUGCUGCCACCCGCAUUCCAGGGGCCUUGUCCUCCUGCCCGGCAUCCCCAUUCUUACACCAGCGUUGGGCACUGCCCACUGCUCGCACAGCGUAUGGCCCCACCUUUCACUAGGUGACCGCUUUGCUGCAAUCCAUCCUCAGGAGUUGGGGCGCAUCAAGCCGGCAAGCUUACUUGGGUCAGUAGGGGCGGUGGCAGUCGAGCAACAUGCACCGUAAAGGAUUUGCUGAUUAGUGAUGAACCAAAAUGCAUCAUAAACAUAUUUUUUUGCGUCAUAAACCGUGAUUUAUGAAACUCUUGUGACGAAGAUCGUUCGCCACUAAUUGAACGUCAAAAAUCCCAAUUAGUGACGUUCCUUAUAUUUGCACAAAAUCUAUGACACAUACAAAACGUCGAGACAAACGUCAUAAAUUGGCUCCUACGGUUUUGCCACGAUGGAUAAGAAUCUGAUGUGGCAUGACCAUAGUGACAAUUGUUUGGUCAUAAAAUGAAUUUGGCCCAUUUGUUGUUGGAUCGAGCACAAGUUUGUUCGGAUAGGCCAAUAUUGUUCGGAUAGCCAAAAAUUUGUUCCGAUAGGCCCAUUUGUUGUUGGAUUGAGCUCAAAAUUUGUACAUAUCAUUUUCGGCCCUUUUUUCUUGAUUUAUGAAUGAAAUACAGUUUUGGCAUAAUUAUAUGUGGGCAAAGCCCACAUAAGAAAUAAAUUUAAUAAAUGGGGCAUGAGGAAUUUAACCAAACGAAUCAAUAUUAAAAAAGUUAUGAACAAUGAAUGUAUAUAAUUUUAAAUGUGCAUAUCAUGUGGCAUAUAAUUAAUUACCGGCUCUUCUAUCUGCAUAUCAUGUGGUAUAAUCUCAUUCUGUACCUUGUCAGUAUUAGGCUGUGAUGGAUAUAAGAAGAUCAUGUGGUGUUUUGAAACAGAGGGGAAAAAAUAAUAGAAUAGCCUAAUGUACCUUUUGCUCCUGUAUGUGCAUAUCAUGUGGCAUAUAAUUAAUUACCUGCUCUUGUAUUUGCUUCUCAGGGGUUGGUGUAAUCUCCUUCUGUAUCUUGUCAGUAAUAGGCUGCGAUGGAUAUACGACGACCAUUUGGUGUUUUUGUAACAGAGGGAAAAAUAAUAGAGUAGCCUAAUGUAGCUUUUGCUCCUGUAUGAUCUUCAAAUCCACGUACUCACGAUUAUGUUGCAACUUUCUUAUCCAUCUCUACACGUGCCUGCAUGUUCUCAGAAUCUAUUUGGACACGUUCCAACACAAUUAGACGAUCCAUUUCUUGACGCUCAUGCUUCAACUUCUGAUCUAGAUUGUCGCACUCCUCUUUAAUCUUCCGGUCCACGUUAUCACAUUGUUGCUUUAACAUCUGGUCCAUGUUCUCACGCUCCUCUCGGACCAUGUUGUCCAUGUCCGCUCGCUGAAGUCUCAACUUCAGGUCCAUAUCUGCACGCUCUUGCAUAAGCUUGUGGUCCAUGCUCUGACGCUCUUGCUGCACCUUGCGGCCCAUUUCCUCUCGGGCCAAGUCGACGUUCGUGUCCACCUCCGCGCGUGCAUCUGCAUCCUUCCGGUUCAUGGUUCCUGCAGCAUUAGAAUAGUAGGCAUUUCUAUAUAUAGAUCAGCAGCAAAUGAGCAUCACAAGGGAAGCCACGCAUGACCACUACUGAUCAGGAGCGACGGCCUACAGAGGGCGAGACAGGAGAUGCCCGACCAUCUUGCCGUGGAGAUCUCUGGUCUCCGGAUAUGGCCUAGAGCCGAAGCUAGCUAGUCGGUAUUGCACAAGGAUGAUGAACUCACUUUUAUCUCGGUCAGGAUCACAGGUUGGUACGGUGCCGAUAAAAAUCCAAUGUAGUAGUGUCGAGGGGGACCAGUAGUGACGUUGGGCGGCGCUAUUUCGUGAUGACGUACAUGUGAUGCAUAAGGGGAUAAGAGAGAAGAGGUAUCAGAGCGGAGAAGAUUGACGAUACACCAGUUGGGGCGCCAUAUGGAGGAGGACCGACCUACAGGUGCCUAUCAUCCCCACUGCCGAUUGGAUCUUGAUGAAGGCUCAUUUUUUAUUUUGAUGGUAAAAUCGUCGCUCGCAAAACCGCCCAUCAUUUUAAGAUGGGUCGUAGCCUCGUGGGUGUGGGGGCCUCCCCUGAUAUUCUGCGUGUUUGUUUCGGUUUCUAGAGAGAUCCGUCUCCGCUCAACUUGAUCAACCAUUGUGGUCAAGCCUAAUCGGAUUACUGGCCCUAUUAGAUGAUGACGUUGCCUUGUUGGGGCAUAAUGUUCCAGUUUGAGUCUUGAGGCUCAGUAAAUUCUCAAUGAAAUUUUAAACCAUAGCUGAUGUAACAAUAUUUGUUGAAUACACCUACAAGUUUAGGAAGAUUUCAGCAAUAUUAAGGAGUUGACUCUCAUUGAUUGUGAUAAGAACACUACAUCACCUUGUCGUCUACGUGGCACACCGCAAAGUACCGUUGAUCUGUCACCCUAGUCGAGCAAGGCUAGAGCGCUAGGUAAAACACUUAGGAGCUUAGCAACCAUGUUCCCGGAACGUUGGGAACGAGGAACUAGGAUGUUGGCCAUGGGAUGCCACUUUGAGAAACGUACCAGUAUGUCCAUACAGGGGAUGGAACACGUACCAGAUUUUGGAACGAUGUUCUUGGUCGUCUCCGUUUCUCGUUCUGGGAUGGAGUUCCCAAAAUGUGGAACAUGGCCACGUUCCACAGUACCGGCUGCUAAGCACAGGAGGUGUCAUGCACAGACUUGAUGUAGAACACGGUGGUGCCCAGCGUGACACAAGAGGGGCAGAGAAGUCAGACCACUUGGGUGAUCAUGGCAGUGGCAGGUUGGCCUUAGGGUAAGGGUGAACGGCGGGUGGAGGUCAUGCGCGUCGUUGUUCUUAGGGAGGAUGCUACCGCCACGGUUGCAUGUGUGAUUGCUGCGACGGGCACCUGAGCUAGCAGGGACCCUAGAGGUGGUGCAGCGGACACGGGAUCCGCAGCACGCAUUCCGCGAGUUGAUAGAGAUGACCGCGAGCACACGUGGGGGCGCGACGGAUCUGGAGUGGCUGCUGGCGUGCUCCUUGUCCAUGAACGCGGACAAGCAUCGUGACUGCAUUGUCAAAGUGCUCCGCCAGGUCUGGUUCGAGUACGUCAGCUUGUUGCCCCACCCGGACACCGCCGCGGGCGGCCGACGACCUGACAACCGACCAGGUCCCUGGCUGAGCUAUCCACCACAUGAAAACACUCAUCUUAGGUCACCUCAAUCAGUCUCGUGAGAGAGACAGACAUGUCUGUUUGAAAUGUACCAGCAAGUACUCUGGAUCCAUUGUGUAGAUCGAUCUCAAUUCUCACCAAUGAUUGCCUUAUGGUCAUGCAUCGGUGCUGUAUCACUUGUGUUCAGACCAUCGAUACUCGUGUGACAAUUGGGAAAGUUCCAGAGACCGAUCGCACAUACAAGAAACUCCUUGUCACGGUCGAUUCCACUCACCUAUUGCUGGGCACGGUCCCUCGAAUACUCCAACCCGCCUCGACGCACUCUAGGACAGGCCCGGGUGCGUCUACAACCUCUACACGCAUAGGUCAGUGUGUUCGAAUGCUCCCCCGACUGGGCUGCCGCUUAUCAUUUUUGAAACACUGGCCCUGUUUGGCAAGUAAGCCGUCUUUGUCCAACUAGUAGCAUGGGUUUGACCGGGGACAUUUGUAGAGAGACAGAGAGAUUGAUAAAACACAUCACACCCUCUAGGAGGGUGACCUUUCAUAUAUAUAGCUAAUAUGACAUGGUGUAAAUGGACAAAUACAUAUACAUGUUUGCAUAGCUAUAUAUACUCUAAUACCCGCCCGCAGUCGCAGCAGGAGCUUGAUGGAUGCAAAGACUGAUCCUGAAGUCAGUAAAUAACUGCACAGGCAAACCUUUGGUCAUGGCACCCGCAUAUUGGUGUACCAACGGUACAUGCAGAACGCGAACCUGUCCCAGUGCGACCUUCUCACGAACAAAGUGGAUGUCGAUCUCAAUGUGCUUCAUAUGACGAUGGUGAACAUGAUUAGUGGUCAUAUAAACAGCACUAAUAUUGUUGCAAUAGACAACGGUUGCAGAAGCCAGAGGAAUGUGCAACUCCUGAAGAAGUUGUUGCAGCCAACAACACUAAGCAACAGCAUGUGCGACGCCACCGUACUCCGCUUUAGCACUAGAGUGAGAUAUAGUGGUUUAGUGUUUGGAGGACUAAGAUAUCAGAUUGUCACCAAUGUAAACACAAUAUCCUGAAGUAGAGCGUCGUAAGUCAGGACAACUAGCCCAGCCAGCGUCCCAGUAUGCCGUGAGAGAGUCAGUUCAAUCAACUCCACUAUGUAGUCCAGCAGAUAACGUACCCUUCACAUACUGCAAGAUGCGCUUGAUCAGUGCAAGGUGAGGCUCAUGUGGAUCAUGCAUGAAGAGCCAGACCUAUUGAAUAGCAUAUGCCAGAUCUAGAUGAGUAAGCAUAGGAUACUAAAGAGCACCCGCGAGGCUCGUGCUGAAGGAUCUACAAUGGGAUUACCAUCUGUAGCCAAAAGCUUGGACUUGGAGUCCACAUGUGUCAAUGUCAGGUGACACUCAGACAUAGCAGCGCACUGGAGAAGGUCUACAGUACACUACAAAAGGAAAAGACCUUCCGAGGAGCGCGUGACGGAGAUACUGAGGAAGUGGUGCAGAUCAACGAGGUCCGUCAUGGCGAACUCAAAGUGAAAACAUAUCGCAACCACUUCAGUUGUGGGUGGCCACCAACAACAAACCUCCUAUUUUCACUGCUGAUUGGGAUUAUCCCAGGGCAAAUCCAACAACCACUGCGCAUCUUUGAAGCGUAUCUGUUACAUUGCGAGAGGCCACUAAGCGGCGGAUGGCGACCGUCGAACCAGAGAUAAAUGCACCAGCAGUGCCACCGGGCGGUGAUCAGAGAAGACGCAGGCCACCAGGCGGCGAUCAGAGAAGACGCAGUCCACCGGGUACAUGUGCACAACUUCAUUCCCAUCGCGUUGCUCUGUGUGCCGGAUCCACCACACCAUAUUAUUACUAGGAUUAUGUACUGUAUUGAGACAUGAUGCCACGGAUCUCUGUGUCAUAUACCUCCGUAGGCACAAGUGUAAAAAGUCAAUUCAUGCAACCGUACCGUUACAAAAAAAAAUAUACUAAUGAACAUACACAUUUUAACAGAUGCAAAAUGAAGUCUUACACGGAUCCUGAACUUGUACACUGAGUAUCGUGCUAUUCCUGACACCACAAUGUUUCACCAGUAAACCAAUUCAUCAAAAAAAUGCUACCACAUGGCAACGAUUCAUCUCGGGACCAAAGUGAAGCAAAUGAAAGAUAUGGAAGGAUAUCAAGAGCCAUUUUUAUCCCGAGAUUAUCGCUGAGCCAGGUCCACAUGUAAGCAAAAAGAAAACUCCAGAACAUCAGAGAAGACCUAGGAAGGAAGGAAGGCGUGAGAAGCUAAAAGGAAGGACAAGGCUGAUCGGCCUGGACCCACCCAAGUCGAUUAGCCUGAGCCAUACUUGUGUUUACUCUCAUAUGCAAUCUAUGCUUCAUGAUAGGAUUAGAUCCGUUUAGCUAGAUAGAAAACCCUAGCCAGUUCAUUAUUGAUCCACAGAUUGAUAAACCUUGGAUGGAAUACUCUAAGGGAAAAGCUACAACUAAUCUGUGUGCUUGCAGUUCAAACAGGCUCGCUAACUUCUACCAACAAGCUUUUCCGACGCCGUUGCUGGGGAGGACUUGUUGGAGGGUGAUAAAAAUGCUAUAUAGCUUACAAGGAUGGGGGAGGACUUGUACGAAAAUAAAACUGCUAAGCAUGGGGGAGGACUUGUUGGACGAAAAUAAAAAUGCUAUAUAGCGUACAAGGAUUACGGUCACUAAAAGAUGCUCAUUUUUCUUCUUCCAUGCUAAGCACAAUGCUUAAGCAUGGGGAGGCUGCGCUACACUUCAUUACAAGCAUCAAAAGGGCGGUAAAUCUUUUUUUGCAACUUCUCUUUUCCAUCACCUUCUAAAUGCCUGUAUAUAUAAACCUUCAACCAUAGACUCAAUGCAUCUUUUGUAUAUCUCUCUCGAUAAUAACAUGGCUACUAAGAGGACAAACCUAGUUUUUAUUUUCAAUAAAUCAUGAUCACCAUCACCUUGUGCUCACCAUGAUGUUAAUAAUUUUGAUAUACUAUUACUUAUGGAAAAAUGAUGAAUGUUGCCACUUUGUUUUAACUGCACAAUAUUGUAUGUAGCUUGACUAACUGCUCUCUAUUUAAUGAACUUAAAUUGAUUAAAUAUCAGCUCUUUUAACUGUGGAGGUUAAAUGACUAAACUGUAGACCCAUAUAUUUUAUGUUGCUCGUUUAUUUUAUGUUCACUGAUGACCUGAUAACUUGUUGAGCUUUUAUUAAAACUUAAUUUUUAAGCUAUCUACAUUUGUGAAUCUUUUGCAAUGUUCUAUCCUACCAGAGCCUAUAUACAUGUAUGACCUUUUAUGAUGAAACCUUUAGAUUGCAAACUUAUAUUUUGAUGAGUGUGGUUUGAGACUUAGAAGCAGGCCACCUCCUUUAUGUAAAUCUUUUUUUUCAUAGUCUUUCUUUCCAUGCAUUGUGAGUUUCUACACUGAAAAUUUCACAAACUUUGCUGGGCAUCCACCCUAAACAAAAAUCAUCUUUUUUGACAUCUCCUUUACUACAACCCAUUAUAUGAGUAUGAAAUUUUUUUGACAAAGAUCCAAUAGAUUUCUCUAUGCCAAACCAGUACAAAUCAUCAGAGAAGGCAACUAUUAGCUUGUGGAAGAAAAUUUAAAAGAAAUGGAUGACCAAAGGGGUAGACCGAUUGGCCCAAGGGGCUGCUACCCUGUUCACUAUAAUUUUUUGCAAGAAGCAUCUGUGAGAAGAUUUAAGACCUUUUGUGAAUAUUUCUUGAAGGAUUUCAUGCUUACACCAGCAGUUAUUAGAUUUCACUUUUCAUGCUCGAAGACGAGCAUUGUUGAAGCAUAGGGGAGUUAGUGCAUCAAUCAUAUCCCUUACUACUGCUGAAGUAAGUGCAAUUUGAUUAUGUUGUGACAAGGUCUAAGAAGGUAAAAAGCGGAAGAGGAGUAAAAAAUGAGAAAAAGAAAAGGAACGCAAAAUAAGAUACUCCUCGGUACUUGAAACUUGAUUAUCAGUGCCCAUUGAUAUCAUACUCAUUCUUCCAACCAUGUGCAAUCCGAUAACGAGAACUUCAUCCGUGUCUCGGGAUCAACCUUUGCUACUUGCGCAUGUCACCUAUCUAAAUGUGUGUGUUUCAUCCCUCUCCCUCUCCAACAUUUAUUUUCCAUGACCCUUCGACAAGUCUUAGUAAAUCCAAUAUAUCUCUAUUUUGGUUUGACAACAUUUCAUAUAUAAUAUUUUGCUAGGAUUAGUUUUACCUACCAAGCUUUACAUAAGCCAUCCACUUUCAUAUAUGACUAGAAUCGUUUGAAAAUUAUCUAGUAUAGCCUUGAGUGACUUGAUAAGAUGAGUGUUUCCAUGAACUAUUGCAAAAGAAUCUCACUUAUGUUGGAUUUGCAUCUUUUCGAAAAAAAACUCUUCACGAUGGAACAAAGUAAAGAUCUGAAGUUCACUUGAGUUCAAGAGCUUUGUAUUUAUUUUAACUGUGGCAUAUUCUUUAUUACUAGUCUAUCUUUCGUAAAGAAAAGUAGUCAUUCACAACUUGAACUUUAAACAUUAAACACUUGAGAGAGCAAUGUGUCUUGUUAUGUAUAACAAGUGCAGGAUUACAUCAUAGGGCAACAGUGAUUUCUUGAUAAUCAAAGAUCCUUGACUUAGUCGAGGAUGAGCAAGGUUUAAGCAUGGAGAAAUUGUUGGCGCUCGUUAUUGCUACCUUUUUAGUGCUAUUUCAGAAGUAUUUUUGAAUUAAUUCUUAUACUAACCCGCCACUUGGCACAUGAAAUAACCACAUUUUUGCAUAUGCAUUGUAUUUUGGAGAACAUUCUGUUUUCACAUGAAUUUGGACUAUAAUGGAGCAUAAUUGAACAAGACCUAGAACCAGCGACAACCCAGAGAAAGACGAAGGCUAGAGGGCCCAAAAGGGCCUAGGCCGAUUAGCCUAUCGAGCCCAAGCCGAUUGGCCUAUGGUCCUAGGGCUUCCGUUCACGCACAUCUUUGGCGAGCAAUCCUCUAGGAAGACUUAGGAGCAAAGUUUCUGAAGAUAUGACAAGUUGAUCUCGGAAUCAAAGUGAAGCAAAUGAAAUAUAUACAAGGUUAUCAAGAGCCAUUCUUAUUCGAGGUUAUCGCUGAGCCAGGCCUACAUGCAAGCAAAAAGAAGACUUCAGAACAUUAGAGAAGACUUGUGAACGAAGGGAGGCAUGAGAGGCCAAAAGGAAGGGCUAGGCCGACUGGCUUGGACUAACCCAAGCUGAUCGACCUAGGCCAUUCCUGACCCCCUCAACUUCCCAUUUGAACCAUGGCUUUCUCAGGCUAUAAAUAUCCUAUUUUUCCAUCGGCAUGAGCAUCCAUUCGCUAGAAGUCAACGAAAUAUAGGGACACGGACCAGAGGGAGCUGAGGGCCACUGCAAGUCCUCGAGGUUUCCUAGGAGAUGGCUUAGGCUAGACCCUAGCCAUCAUGGUUGUCCCUAUGUGGCGAAGCCCUAGUGGAGUUCCAGAGCCAAGCCUUGAAUUCAUCAAGGCAUAUGUACAUGUGAUGGUGAUAUCAAUUUGUUCUUGUCUCUACUUUGAUCUACUAUGAUUCAUGCUUAUUCAUAUAUAUAGCUACCAUAUGCCUUUAGUAAGAAUAGAUGUAAUCGUGGUGAUUAGUCUAAAUUUUGCGGAUAGGUCAUAGUCUUGGACUGGAAGUUGGUGCUAUUACCCUUGUGUGGUGACAAUAUUAGGGAAGGGAAAGGGCAAACAAUUGUGUAAUGGACGACUCUUUAUCAAGGUACGAGAUGGGUUGGUUACCACUUUGGCUAGAACAUCAAGUAGAAGAUAUUAGGCUCAUGCUACCUUUGGUCGUGUUACCUCAUGUCAUGUGAAUAUGAUCUAUUCAUAAUAUUCAUCUUAUACCCGUGUUUACUCUCAUAUGCAAUUUAUACUUCAUGAUAGGAUUAGAUCUGUUUAGUUACAUAGAAAACCCUAGCACAAUUCACAAAUUGAUAAACAUUGGAUGAAAUACUCUAAGAAAAAAACUAUAGCUGAUCUGUGCACUUGCAGUUCAAACUGGCAUGCUAACUGCCACUAACAAAUUAAAACCCUCCCCACCCUUCAGCUCGGUGCUGCCACGAAUGUGCGGCCGCCCUUGAGCUCCGGUGGCUGCAAUAUCCUACCACACUGGGCUCCUUCGCUUGAGAUCUGGCCGGAGGUGCCUCUGGACCAAGAUGAGGUGAGGGCGGGCUGGAGCCCCUUCCGGCUGUGGAGGUGCAUAGGAUGGUCCAAACAUCCUAGGGAGAGGGAGAGGCAGAACUGAAGGCAAAACAUCUCUUGGAGGAGCGUAAUCGACAGAGAUGGCACGGAGGAGGGGUCCUGUCUUUUCAUUGUUGCCAUAGGUUGGGACUCGGAUUGGAUGGACAAGGUCACAACUCACAAGGAUGCGAAGGAUUGAACAUGAUGGCGGUUUCCAUGAGGGAGGAAGACAGUAAAUGAUGAACGGACUAGAUUUGAACAAAGGCACGACAUCUGACGGUAGACAAAUGAGGAUGACGUGGCUCAACAUAGGAGCAGCUUUAGUUUACAGCAAUAAAUGAUUGCUAAUAGUUUCAUCUGUAUGUCUAGAUACAUAGUCAUAUACUGUGAUAGGGCAUAAAACUGAUUACGUGAAGGAACGCACCAGCCAUCAUUACGAAGCUUUUGCGAACGCACCAGCCAUCUAGAUCGACGAGCAUGCAUUGGCUAAACCUCUACUGUACUCAGUAAAGAUUCUUGUAACGACUAGGUCAUCAGUCAUCACGUGCAUGAACGCAGCACUUAAUCAUCGAUCCAGGUCCAUAUAUCAAGACCGGAUGCCCACUGUCGACUGACGAUGAUGUUUGUGUGCACGUGCAGCAAUUUGGAAAUCGAUCUCAUCAGCCGGUCAAAACAUUACUGCAGAUCAAGUGCCAUUUAGGUUCUUGGGGUAGGCGACUUUGUACUGCACCUUGUCUUUUGCAUGGGAUUCUGCGUGUUGGAUUUUACUAGCUUCAGUUGUUUAACAAAGUUUAAGCUCGUGCACGGAUUCUCGAAGGACUUCCAAGAUCGUUGACAUGGCUAGGCUCUGACUUGGUCAUCUGCUCCACACCUCGCUACAGUAUUAUAGGCUAUCUGUCGAGGCAUUGACCUGUUAUAUGGACUCCUUCCUUUUUAUUAAAAUAAGGCGCAGAUGUAUAUCAAGAUUUAAACUUUAUAAUUUUGACCAAUAAUUUAACUAUUAAUUUUUUUAUUUGUAUAAUUUAAACUUUAUAUGGUUGGAUUUGUAAUGAAAUAUACUCUACAAUGAUUAUAAGUUUAUAACUAUAAACAAUAUAAUAUAAGAUAAAUGAAUGGUCAGAAUGUUAUUUGGAAGACCGUGCCAAUUUAUACCAUGCCGUAUAAAAAUAGAUGGAGGAAGUAGUUAUAUGAGCUAGAUAAUUUGUGUUUUUUUAAAGCUAGAUAAUUAUUCUAUAAGCCAUUAACAACGAACCAUCUGUGGAAUAUAUUCCUUGUACCCAUCCCUAUCUACAUGUAUUGACAAAUUACAGAUUACAAAUUGAUCUCCAAUUUUUAGCAUCUUAAUAUCCGAAGUACAAAUUAAGCUUAUCUCUACCUAAUAUGAAAGGGCAAGUGUUUUCUUCCCAACUGUCAAGCAUGUUUUACAAAAAAGUACCGCAGCUUUUCAUAAUUUUAUCCCAAUCUUAAAAUCCUCGGCACUCCCUAUCCACGCCUCCUUCCCACCCAUCCAUGCUCGGCGGCAGGCAUGACUCACCGUCCAUCCCUCACUCCCUCUCUCAAUCUUCCUCCAUCGUGGCUCCUAACCUGAUGGUGCCACGGCACCCGUCCCUCCCUUCCUCCCCAUGUAGCUACUAUCCAGAUGCACCCGGCCUUCUAGAGCUCGCCGCCGAUGAUCAUCACGAUUGGACUGUGGCUCUCAGCUGCAGCCACCACCCGUCGCGGUGCCACGAGUGGGCCGCUCGAGCUCGUCACGCCCCUGCAGCUCCUCUCAUAGCCACUGCAACCACUCGUCGAAUACCUGUGUGGAGAAGAGGAACAUGUGUGGGGCCACGGCAGUGACGCCAGCCAUGUCCCAUCUCGAAGCCCAUCAAGGAUGUAGAGCGUCGCGUGACGAAGCCUACACACUGUACACCGUGAUGCGGAGCCACCCGUCAAGGCUCAGGAAGACAGGCGCGGCUAGGUUGGGUUUCCCCAGACAUUGCGGGAAGGCAACUUGGUGAGGGUGAUAAGGUACCACGAUGGUGAUCUCGGAGAGCAGGACCGUGUGAAGAAGGCCAACACGGCGACCGCGCUUAGCAUGUUGAGCUGCUUGAUGGAGAAGAUGUAGUAGUGGUGUACAGGUGCACCAUUGCGGAAGUGGGCUCAGGGGCAUGCCAGGGCACCCUUAGACAACAUCAUGAUGCCGCUUCUGCCAUCAGGCUGACGCCCUAGCAUGGAGCGAGGCGGCUGGGGAGUGCAGCACGCGUUGUGGCAUCGAUUUGGAUGGGCGAUGGAAGCGGCAGUGAGCGAUGGAGGUGUUUAGUCCUCGCGAUAGCGGCGAAUUUAAAGACGAAACAGUGUGGCGUGGAAGCGAAGGAGGACGUGGUGAGCUGUAGUGCCACAGCAAGUGACGCGUAGGUUGGGAUGAGAUUUGAGUAUUAUUUUACUAGCCUGGGAGAAUAGCGUAGUCGGGAACAUUUUUCACUUGCGGAUUGACUUGAGGACAGGUAGGAUCCGUAGCAACGCAUGAGCAUUUCUGCUAGUAUGUUAUCAAGGUAGGAGGUAGUGCACAAACUUGUGGAAACUACAUAUAGUAACACCCAAACUCACGAAAGAUACAUAAAACAUGUAGGAUAAAAAGAACACAAAAGAACCUAAAUAGACCACAGAUCAGCAUGGUAACGGCGGCGCUGCGCACCUUAUCUCCCACGCUCUACCUCAAGUUCUAGCCUGUAGCAUACAGUCCAGAACUGAACGGUACCAUACUAUAUAUAUAAGCCUAGCCGGCACUACAGCAGCAUCACCAUUUGCUAGCUCCAAAAACACUACAAGGCAAUCAGCAUCCACCUAUGUCCACGUCCACAACCAUGGCCCGGAUACUACUCACCUUGUGCUUCUUGUCUUGCAACGUCUUCCUCCGAUCCUUCGCCACCUCCGAUGACUUCCUCCAGUGCCUCUCGCAGACGAUACCAAGCGAGCUGGUGUACCAGCAGAGCUCGAGCAGCUUCAUGUCGGUGCUGCAGUCCUCGGUCCAGAACCCCAAGUACCUGACCAACACCACGGUGCGGCCGCUGUGCAUCGUCACGGCGUCCGGCAUCCCCCACGUCCAGGCCGCCGUGCGCUGCGGCCGCGCCCACGGCGUGCGCCUCCGCGUCCGCAGCGGCGGCCACGACUACGAGGGCCUAUCCUACCGCUCCGUCCAGCCGGAGGUGUUCGCGGUGCUCGACCUCUCCAGGGUCCGCGCGGUGGACGUCCGCCCGUUCGAGGCCACGGCGUGGGUCGACGCCGGCGCGACGCUCGGCGAGCUCUACUACGCCAUCGGCACGGCCAGCCCACGGCUCGCGUUCCCCGGAGGCGCGUGCCCGACAGUCGGCGUCAGCGGGUACCUCAGCGGCGGCGGCAUCGGGCUCAUGAUGCGCAGGUUUGGCAUCGGCGCGGACAACGUCAUCGACGCCCGGAUCGUCAACGCCGGCGGCGAACUCAUCGACAGCGUCGCCUCCAUGGACCAGGACCUCUUCUGGGCCAUCCGCGGCGGCGGCGGCGAGAGUUUCGGCGUCGUGGUGGCGUGGCGGCUGCGGCUGUCCAUGGUGGAAGAGACGGUGACGGUGGUCAACCUACAGAGGACCCUCGACGAGGGCGCCGCCGCCAUCGUCGCCAAGUGGGAGACGCUCAUCCUCCAGCCGUACGUCCCCGACCUCACCAUCCGGGUCGUCGUGCAGGACAACCACGCCUUCUUCCAGACCCUCUUCCUCGGCCGGUGCUCGCGCCUCCUCCGCACGAUGCGCGCCUACUUCCCGGAGCUCGGCAUGACGCCGGCCGACUGCCGCGAGAUGACCUGGCUGCGCGCCAUGGCGUUCAUCGGCCUCAACGGCGACGCCAACGCGCCGCCGGAGGCGCUACUGAACCGGACCAACAACCUGGGCACCUACGUCAAGAACAAGUCCGACUACGUGCGCCGCGCCAUCGGCCGGGCGGGGUGGGAGGGCAUCUUCCGGGAGCACCUCUCCCGUUACGGCCCGGGUCUCAUGAUCAUGGAGCCCCACGGCGGCGCCGUUCCGAACUUCGCCACGCCGUACCCGCACCGCCAGGGCGUGCUGUACAACAUCCAGUACGUGGUGUUCUGGGGAGGCGAGGCCGACGGCACCGCGGCGGCGGCGGCGAGCGGCUGGCUCGGCGGCAUCUACGGGUACAUGGAGCAGUUCGUGACCAGCAACCCCAGGGAGGCGUUCGCCAACUACCGGGACCUGGAGAUCGGCGCGAACGUGGUCGGCGGCGACGGGGUGACGACGUACGAGAGCGGAAGGGUGUGGGGCGAGAAGUACUUCAUGGGGAACUUCCGGCGGCUGGCGGCGGUGAAGGGGAGGGUGGAUCCCGGCGAUUACUUCAGGAACGAGCAGAGCAUCCCGCCGCUGCGCCAGGGAUUUUAAUUGGGCUGUGCGCUUAUCGUGAGUUCUGUAUUAUGGAUCUCAAAUUAAUUGAGGUUCUUAUCUUUGUUUCCUGCGUGAAUAAUUGGCUGGAAAUUAGUCAAGAAUCCCUGGAAGUCAACCACAUUGUCGACACUUUCCUCUAUGUCUUGAUCUAUCUAUGAUCUAUAUAUACUAUAACGAUCUAUCUAUCUUCUUAUAUAUACCAUAAGAUCCAAAGCAGCUGAAAAUAUUUUCCACCCAAAACAACUCUCUCGAGGACCCAUCUACCGUUUUGACUCUAUUUUUUUCACCGAGCGAAGCCGCCGCUGGUCUUCGCCAUGCUCUUCGCUUGGCGAUGGACGAAGAUGGCAAGGCCAAGCCUGACUGCCGGCCGCCGUCCCCGACCUGCCGCACGCGCCGCCAGUGGCAAGGCCGAGCCGGCCGUGGCCUUCGGCCUUCCUGCACGCAAGCAGCCCGGAGGGCCGCAACAGCGGCGACGGCCCACUCAAUGGGACGAGACACAGCGCGCGCGGUGACGGAGCAGCGAGUGUAGAAGCCUAAAGACGUACUAGAACCACCGGGCAAGGAUGGUGCUGGUGGCCCUCCGACUCCACGGCCGCUGAUCAACAAGGACGCACACUGCACACAAGGUGUUCCACUAUAUGGCUCAGCAGGUAAAUUACGAAAAAAUUCUCUUAUCUUUCCAUAGGUACUCGAUGCCUGAAUUACGUUUUUUUUUUCCUAAUUAGCUUCUCCUCUGAUGCUAUUUUGAUCAGUUUUUUAAUGAUGCCAUUGAAGCAUUAAGGUUUUCCUACAAGAAGAUGAACCCAUUUUGUGUACAUUUUGCAACUACAAACAUGGGUUCUGCAAUAAGCUAUGGACCUGGUUUCCCUUGUUUGUUGACAGAAAUUAUGUUCUUGAAUACUGAAUUUGCAUCUCGUAUGCCAUCUCUACUGGUUGGGCUAUUAACAAUUUCUGAUUCUGAAUGCACCUAAUAGAAAAAAAGAGGAACCUGUAAGUAACUUCAUUUUCUUGUGAUCUUUUCUUGCAGCAUCUUCUGAUGUUCAUGUACUGCAAAAUGAAGGGCACCUACCUCUUCUUCGAUUUGUUGUUGCCAAUUCAAAAUUUUGUUUCUUAUCCAUUUCUAUUCCCCAUGCAGCAAAGAGGUCCAUUGUAUUUUCACCCUUUUGCAUAUUCAAAAGAAUUGAUUUAUUGUAAGCUGUGUAAAGGUUAGUGAUGCAUGCCAUCCUGAUUAAAAGCAAAAUCCACUUCUGGAUUUCCUGUUUCUCUUGAAGUUGGGUUCGAGGUGUAAUCAUUAUCUUCAUUUUCUACCUGCAGAUUCAGGUCAGGCCCCUUCAACUGUGAGUUAUAUGUGUACAGUUUUAUGAAAAUUCUCUUGCUGGCGGUAAUAGAAGAGUGAGAGGAAAGGGUAAGGAGAUGGCAAUGCCCUGCAAGCAACAACAUCAGCAAGGAAGCUUUCCCAAUUGAUGCCCAUGAGUGUCUCUCUCGAUGGCUAGCUCUGCGUCAGCUGCAGCGUCUCUCCUGCAAGUCAUUGGUUCCUGCAUGUUGACUGCACAAAUGUGUUCGGCUCAACUACGACAGAAGAGGGAGAAUUGCCUUUGCUCAGAUGCUUCGGAGGGUACAGUUAGAGGUCUUUUCCUAUUUAGAGAUUUCAAUCUUUUCCAUUUUUCUUAAAAUCUUUUGUCUUUUGAAAUGGUGCGCAUCCAACUAUAAUUCUGUAUGACCGAUUUGUUUCCAAUACUUGGAAAAUAGCAAUUUAUGCUGACCAUUACUCCAUUAUAUUCAUUUUUUCAAAUUUGGUUCUAUGAAUAUAAAACACGUGUUCAAUAAUUUUUUUAAACACGUGCAUGUCGCACGGGCUUUGGUUAAGUUUAUGAAGCUCCUAGCAAUGUAUUUUCUUGUCCAAAUUACUAUCCCUAAAGUCCGGAUAACCGUGUUCUUUAGUUCCAUAUACGUCUAAACUAUGCUAUUUAGUUCAAUUUAUCCCUUAACACAAUUCAUCUUUUUUCCUCCAUAUUUUUUUCUCCAUACAAAUUCAACUUCAAUUUAAAAUUCUAUAGGGUGGUAGUGAACACCACAAUGUAUAUAAAAAAAUAUAGUAUGAAUUUUUCAUCAUUACUUUUUUUAUAAUUUUAUAUUUAAAAAAUAAUUUAUUAUUAAAUAUCAUACCCUAUAAAAAUAAUAAUAAAAAAAUUAUGAUGAUUUGUAAUAACUAUCAAUCAAGACUACAAGAUGCUAAUCCAAUGGAUAGGGUUAGAGGUGCAUGAGGAAACAGACCCAUGGCUAAGGGGGGAUUCGAAAAAGUGGCCGGCAGGUGGGGGGUUUAGCACAAAAUUAUCCCACCAUUGGAUUAGCAUCUUGUAGCCUUGAUCGAUAGUUUCUAAGGUUGCACGGGGUAGAUGGUUUCCACCAAAUACGUUCCUUUUUUCCCUUCUUGUAUUUUGUGCCCCCACCCUCCAAUACUAUGAAUUUCAGUUUUUCUUUUGGAAAUUGUUUUGUACGAUUUAGUUAUUUUCACUAGUAUUGUUACAUAGGUGGGUCGACGUCGUGAAUCAAGGGAAAUAUGAAUGAGGACGUAGUUGGUAGAGCUCACAGUACUUGCAUGCUGAGUCUAGAGGAACUUUGGCACAGAAUUUUUUUCGAUAAGUGAUUCUAGCUUGACUCCCGUGAAUUGAUUCUCUAAAAUAUAAUAGUAACAUGCCUCCCCGGUCUGUAAACUUGCCCGAAUUUGCACAUAUAUAUAUAGCAAGAGAGGUGCUCAAACUUGUUCCAGGCGGCAUCAAUGGUCCGAACGCCCCGACACGCUCCGAUCCACGGAUUGAUAAACUUUAGAUGGAAUACUCUAAGGAAAAAGUUACGAUGAUCCAUGCGCUUGCAGUUCACAAAUUGGCAUGCUAACUUCCGUCAACAAUGGUCGACAAUCAUGGUGAGAUUGCCCCCACACCUCGGUGACAGUCUCAGGAAGGCUAUCACGUACGAAUCCCUGUCUUAGAUAGUACAAAUUCAUACCAACACAGAAAUAGAAAGAGUAAUAAAAUACAAACAUCAUCAUAGAUAACAUGAGUACGAGUAUAUCUUAGCGGCUCAUGCCGGUACAAGUCCAUCAGGAUUGGGUCAAGUAAGGUAAAACAUCUACGCAGCGGAAACAAAAGCUAUGACGAACUCCAUCUUCACAGGCGACUCAAGCGAAGCACGAUCCCUAGUCCUCCAAUCUGUCGUUGUUGAAGUCGUAGUCGGGUUCCGAUUCUGAAAAGCCACCAUCUACCCGAGAAAUAGGUAUGCCAUGUCAACUCCCAAAAGCAGCAAAGCCAAGGAAACAGGGGAAUUAUACUAUAUGCAUGAGUAAAAUCUAUAUAUGGAUAUAGGGGUUUAUGCAACAGCAACAGCAACAAUCAAGGAAGCAACAUUGCAACAUCACCUCCGAGAUCAACACCUCAAACAAGGAAGUCGGCACAAAGCACCAGAUCCUUCACCCAAGAGUUCAGCACCCAACACACUAGGCAAUGUGAGAGCUCCCUCCCCUCACAUCUCAGCAGCAAAUGCUAGCCUAUCUCAAAAGAGGGAAGGUAGAAGCACAAGAAAAGUCUAGUCAGAAGUAGUGGUAGUCAAGAGCAGUAUCCAUAACUAGUGGACACAGACAAUAGCUAUAGAUUUAUACACUCUACAAAGGUUGUACAACUGUACCUAUACGGAUCGAGCUUGAACAGUAGCUACCUGUCCAAACCCCACCUAACAACCGGAGCCCUAGUAAGUCAUGUUCCCUUGAGUCUAGAACCGUCCUCAGCUGUAGGGCACGCCGUCACCAGUGAGGACCUCGAAGCUGUGAAACCUACCCACGUCGGGGUGCAGUCUGGUCAGAGCAGGCAAACGCCUCGAACUCCUUACACGAUCCUCCAAUCUACCUACAGGCAGAGCACUAUCCACUACUAGUCUAGGGCCGAACCCUACCCAUAACGUAAGCGAGCGGUAAGUACGAAAAGUAGCUGCUGUGGCUGGUGGUAAACUGACUCGGUCCUUAAGCGGUUGAGAGCGAGCACUCUACCAAUAAGUAUGUGCUGAAGCAACAGCAACAUACAAGUAUGUCACCUGCUCCUCAAUAACAAACAAGGUACCCACCACAAGUAUGGGGUAUAGAGAGAGUCCAAAAAGCUCUCUCUCGGCAAGGCACUUCGCAGUACCAACCAUGGCUCGCUCCUGCCAAGAACACAUCAAGGAGUCACACUCAACCAAAAUACACGCGAGAGUGUUCAAGGAAUUCUCGUCACCAAAUCCAUGGCAAAUGCCCAUCCAUAACUCAAAAGCAUGUAUAUGGAUAAAUGAGCGGUGGACUUGUAGGGAUACGAGGUAGGCUACGCUAGUGCAAAACAAAAUUUUCUACCACGUAAACCAGGAAAACUGUCGUAUAUGGAUCACGGGAUUACCACUCAACACACUGGUGCGGAAGAUGUAGAAUCGCGUUGGGGCAGCAAAGUCGAUCAGCGUAGUCGAACAUGUAGUCGAUCACGUCGAUGUCGAGCAGCUCGUCCACGUGCAGCAAGGUCAUCCUCGUGCCGCGGCUCAUCGUCGGCUUGUCGUGGCUCGUCGGCGGCUCACCCAAGUGCUGCAGGUGCAGCACCUCCAAGGUAUCCACACAUGCAGGGAGGAAGCGUCGCAAGUCGGACUACUAGGUCCGCGAGUUGCAACAGGGUGAGGGUGUGGGAGGCACGGCAGAUGUGUUUUUGGCCAAAAGGUGUAAACCCUAGGGUACCCCCACCCCUCUAUUUAUAGAGGUUCCUGACGGGCCUCUGCGUCCGAGGCCCAUUAGUACUCCUAAACCUGAUCCAAUUCAGAUCACAUCUGAAUUGGGCUUCCAGCCCCUUAAGCGUGUGACCCUAUGGGUUCGGAUACGUAUAGACAUGGUCUGAGUACUCCUACUCGGCCCAAUAGUCGGUAGCGGCCUCUAGCAAGACGUGCCAACUCCUAUACGCACAUGAAGAUCAUAUCAUACGAACCGUCAUGACAUCACGUACAUGCUAUUCCCUUUGCCUCGCAAUAUUUGGUCUAGCUCCAAGCCGACCGCUCUUUCUCGAUCCUGUGAUUCGGAAUCCCUUUGUAGGUUAACUCUUAACCGUACGUAGCAUGGCCAUGCAUUUUCGGAUCCGAUCACUCGAGGGGCCCAGAGAUAUCACUCUCAGUCAAAGAGGGGCAAACCCCAUCUUGAUUGACCAUGCCUCACAGAAUGCUUCUUGACAAACCCGAAAGCUACCUUUUUAACUACCCUGUUACGGUGUAGUGUUUGAUAGCCCCUAAGUAGGUCGAUCCACAUCUUGAGUACAUGCAACAAUCUCCGGUCUAAGGACAAAGCGUACACGUUGUGUAAAGAGAAAACUACUUCUCAUGUUGGGUUAGUCCUAGCACAUGUCUCUACAUGUGCCUACAUUAUUAGUUUGACAUCUCCAUGUCCAUGACUUGUGAAACAUAAUCAUCAACUAAUACAUGUACUAGUCUAAUAUUCCAGUGUGUCCACACAUGAACUCUAACUAGGGACAACUUUUAGAAUAACCAUACAAGUAAAGAGUUCUAUAUACCAUUCACAUAAUUGUAGAUCAAUUCAAGUAGCCUUUAAUGGAUAUUCAAUGAACACAAUAUACAAAUCAUGGAUACAAUCAGAUAUCAUCAUCUCUAUGAUUGCCUCUAGGGCAUACCUCCAAUAGGACUAGCUAGGGGUCUGAAACUAGUCCACAAAGCUAGGUAAACAAGGAAAAUAGAUAAACAAUUAUCAAGGCAUGGCUAAAACAUUGGCUAUGCAAUCCGUCAUCAUCAAGCAAUAUAAGUAAAGCGCUAUCAACUAAGCAUGCAUAGGAUCUAUAUGAUUGAGAGUGACAUGACACCUUGUCCAUAGUCGAUUGGGUCCUCCUUGGUGUAGUCGGGGUCUUGAAAGUCUUUCGGGUCGUAGCUCGGGUCUGAAAAGAACAAGAUACGAUGAAACGUAAAUUAAACCAUAUUACAUCUAGGCAAUAACUUCAAGAAAGCCAAUUUAGAAGAUCCAAAUAACACCAAACUAGCUACAAAUAGCACGGGCUCGAUUUUACGAAUUUAGUGCAAUUGGUUUUAUAUUUUUUUGAGUUAAAAUGAAUUAGUUGUGAAUUUUUAAAGAUUAAAGGGUUUAUUUAAUUAUUUAAUUAAUUUUAGAAAAUAUUUCUUAAGGGGUGACACGUGUCAGCAUAGGAUUGGUCCACGUGGCAGCCUGAGGAGGUGCCACGUGUCUUGCUGAUAUCACACUAACGUCAGCGUUGACCUGGUCAACCGUCAACUACAACGGUGGAUCCCACCGGGUCAGUGGGCCCCAUUGGUGGGCCCAGCCGGCCACACUAGCACCACGUGGCGCCUACGUGGCAGCCACGCGGGCUGCAGCUUGCAGGGUGGCGUGGCAUGGCGCGGCAUGGGGUACCACGGCACGCACGUGUGCGCGCACGGCGUGGUGUGGCGGGCGCGUGGGUGUAGACGGCGCAGCAUGGCAUGGCAAGACGCGUGGUGGCGGCGAGCGCACAUGCGGGCGAGUGGCGCAUAGGUGCGGGUUGCACGGCGCGAGCAAGCACGCGCGCGACAGCAGUGCUAAGGUGCAGCGCGGCGCUGGACCGGCGAGCGCGAGUGGCACGGCUAUAGCCACUGCCCGGCCAAAGGCCCGCCUUUGGCAGCGGCGAGGGUGUGGCAGAAAGAGAGAGGGAUGGGAGAAGCGGCACACGGCGAGGGCUCGGUGGAGACGGCGGUGGACGGGUGGCUUCAGGCAGCGGUGGCGCUUCGGGCGGCCUCCUCCUCUUCCCUCUCCUCCUCUUGACUUCCUCCUUCUCCUCCCACGGCUGCUCUUCCCCUCUCCCUCUUUCCUUUACUCCCCACGGCCCUCUCCUCGACUUCUCUCACGGUGGACAGCGGUGGUCGGGCGGAGCCCGAAGGAGAUGGCGAGAGGAGGGUGCCGAGGGUCUAUAUUUAUAGCGGCAUGUUGAAGCUAGGGUUUGGGGUAGGUGACGGAAGCCUCUGGAGCGGCAGUGGCGCCCUAGGGUAGUUGGUAGCGCAGCGCCGGCGACGUGGUCGGCUAGGAUGGGUGGUGGCUCAGCGCGGGCGGCGUGGAGCGCAUCCGGGGCAGCCAACGCAAAAGAGGAAAGGUGCAGCAGGUCAUGGGCACGCGUGCGAGGGUGGAAGUGCGCUACAGCUCGACACGGUGCGGGUGCGGCGGCACGUGCGGGUGCGGCGGCACGUGCGGUGGCGCGUGCAGCGCGCGUGCGCGUAUGGGCACGGUGGAGAAGAACAACAGUGGAGGGAGGUGCUGGCAGGCUGGGCCAAGGUGGUAGCGAGAGAAAGGAGGGCGCAGGUAGGUGCAGUGCUGGGCGCAGGCGUGCGGGCGGUUGUGGCCUGCUGGGCCGCGUGGAGGAGAGCGAGCUGGGCAAGCGCGGUGCGGCAGCCUGUUGGUCAAGCUUGGCUGUGGCGGCGAGCUGUGCCGACGGGGUGCGGUUGCGCGGGCCGGACGAGUGGGCGGGCUGAGCGAGUUAGUAGGCUAAGUUGGUUAGGUUAGAUUUGGGUUUUGGUUUUUAUUUGAAUUUAGGUUUAGGUUUUAAAUUUAGUUUGAAUUUUCAAUUGAAUUCGAAAUUCAAACUUCACUCAAACAAGAACUCCAAAUAAAAUUCAAGAAGAACCAAAUCAUGCCACACAUAUUUUUGAAAUGGAAUUUUAGGGUGAGAGAGAAUUAUCCAGCUUUUCAAAUGAGCACACAGUUCAAAGUUUUAAAUUUUUGAAAAAAAAUUCACUCAAAUAAAUAUUACAAAUUUUUGGAAUAUUACAAUCUUGGUGGAUUUUUUGUUGAUUUUGGUCACUUGAGGACAUAUAUGGAUAAGAAGCUUGACUGGUUUGAUGCUGUGAGAUUGGCACUUGGUCACCAACAUUCGUUUAAUGACUUCAUUGUGUGGUUGUGUUACACCAAGACACCGUAGUUGAAGAUGUACUGGUUGCUUCUGGGAAAACAUGUUGCAGAUGGUUUGAGAGUACUCCAUCCGUCCCAAAAAAUAUGUCAUCCUAGGAAUUUUAGGAUAGAUUAACAAGAAGGUAAAUGACCUCGAUUGCCCCUAUUUAAUAGCCAGAUUUGAUGCUAAUUAACUGUUGCAUGCCCACAUGCACAUGCACACAUGCCAAAAUGACUUGUUUUUUGGAAUAAAUUUUGAAUCACUGAAUGACAUGUUUUUAGUUGUGGACAAUGUGAAGAAUUUUGUUGUUUUCUUUAAUCAUGAUGGUUGUGUUGCAGGGGUUAAUUGGGAUGAUGUUGUUUCCAAACCAAUAGCACAAUUAUGAAGAUGGAGGGUGCAACACAUUGACAAGAUAGAGUGUGACAAGCUGCACAAUUUCUAUAGAGAACUAAGAGAGAGGAAGGUUCAUGUAACAUCCUGCUUUUUAGAGGAUUUAAAAAUACAGAUUUUUUAAAAUUCUUCUUUAAUUAAACAUACUUCCUCUCUCUCCCAAACAUUCAAACCUUUUUAUAAACAAAAACUAUGCAUUAAAUCUAAGCAUGUGUGACCCAUUUGAUUACUCUAGGAAUAAUUUCCUCCCAAUCUCUCCUUCUCUAGGAAUCCAAGAAUUAAUAUUCAAAAAUAAUUUGAAUAUUAAUUGUAUCCAAAUCUCUAUAAAGCCCAUACUCAAAACUUAGACAAAUUUCAACCAAGAAAUCUCCCAAAAGGGGACCAUUUUCAAGUCCUACCACACCUAACACCAUAAGCUCUUUCCAAAUUUGAAAUCUAAUUCAAAUUUGGACUCAAACUUUAUUUAAACAAAUGAAAACCCCUUUUAAAAGUUUCAUGGAUUGCCAGCCUUCCUUCUGGACCAAUUCCCCUUUCGACCCGGCUCGCACCCACCCCUCUCCACCUCUCCGCUCCGGCCCACCACUCGUCUGGCCUAGCACGCACAGCCCAACCAGCCGCUUCGACCCACCAACGUGCACCGGCCCACGCGGCCCAGCUGACAUGCACGGUAGUGCCGCCGCUGCACCACUGCCGUCCCCCAGUGCCACCUUCGUAACCCGCGCACCGGCCGUUCCGGCCAAACCUCCGCCGCGCCGUACGCCACCAGAUCCACCUCCCCUCAAAUCUUCGCUCCUAAGGAAGCUCCUCCUCCCUUAUCUUCCCUGCCGCCUGCCACCUUGACACUAACGACCACCAUUGUUUCCCCCUUCCUCUUCACCGCCACACCCCAUGGUGCCGGAUCCACCCCCUCUUGCCACUACACACCGCCACUGUUCCCCGCCGCUGCCACUAUUCCCCACCCUGGCCACUGUUCCCAGCCAGCCUCAUCCCGUCAGCAUGUAGAGCCCCUCGCCGGCCUUAUCCACCCACUGUCUGCCCAUCCUCAUCCCCGGCGCAACGUGGUGGCUGCUCGCUCCCUCUCCGAGCCUAUAAAAGGCAGACCAAGCCUCACCUGAGCUCCCCACUCCUCAUCACGGCAAAGAGGUGAGCCAGGCCCUCUCCCUCAGCCACCGCACUCUUCCCCUCGCCUCUUCAUCACCACGACACCACCAGGGGGCUCCUCGCGAGCUCCACUUUCCUUUGGUAGGGUUCCCGUCGCCGGUGGCAACCAGAUCCGCCCUUCCGGCAAGAUGCCAGCGCCCCGCUUGGUGGUGCCAAUGGCACCAAGGCAGGGCCGCUCAGCUCCCCAGUGGCGAAGGGGUAUGGCGUUACCCCCAUCACUAUGUUGUCACCCCCUCCCUCCACAUAACCCCGACAGGCGGGUCUGGUCGCGACGCCGUCACCCUGUCCGUCAUCCCCUCUCCACCCCACGCCCAUGCACCAGGCCCACUGGACCGAACACACAACACCCCCCCCCCUGAUCCAUGGUGUCCACCAAGCUGGCGCACAGCACAGUGUGCCAGGCAUCCCCCCCCUCUACAUCAGCCACUUCAAAAGUGCUAAGUGCACCCUGUAAGUGCACACCAAAUCCUACUUAAAGCCCUUCCCUUAUUCCAAAAAUUCCCCAAAAUACUACAUAAUAAUCUAAGCCUAUCCAUGCCUUUCUUUUCUAUUUUUCAUCUUAUAUGAGCCCUAUUCUAUCUUUUUACUAAGAUCUUACAGACCCAACCUUUUUAGGAAAGAUGUCACACCACCUCCACCCGCCGCCGUGUCCUAUUCCCUAAGUGCCGGGCCAGGUCAAAGUCAAGUGCGUCGUGCGGCCUCUAGCCACUUUACCCACAUCGUUAACAGCAUCCAACCAGUUAUUCCUCGCUACCCUAUUGUCCCCGCUAACCCCUAUCGCUGCCAUGCAUUUGCUGGAACUUGUCAGAGCUCCACCCACCAUAGGGCAGGGCCCUGGGAUAUAGCCGAGCUCAUUAUGCAAGUUUUCUGGCCCCGAAGUACAUCCACAUAACCUAGCCCCAACAUCAUACUUAGAGUCCCUUCCAAAACCCAGUCGGGAUGCUGCCCGACUAAAACCCUAAUCUCUAACCCCAUCUAGUCGUAGUGUCGCCCAUCCAAAAUCUCAAAUUACUCCAAAACCCAGCCAUUGUGCUGCCCAAUCCAAACCACAUAUAUCGACCCAAUCUAGCCAAUAUGCUGCCCAAUUGAAACCCUAGAUAUCAUUAAAACUUAGCUGUUAUGCCGCUCGUUCGGAACUCUAGGAAAUCCAUUAGAAAUUUCCUAGGAAUUCUUUUAGAUUCCAACCAUUCAAUCCAUUAAUUAUUUUGAAAUUAAUUUCUAAAUAAUUAAUGUAUUAUUCCUCUUUAUUCGAGGAUUAUUCAUUGGAUAUCGAAUAAUUCCCUAAAACAUCCAUCCUUCAUUUCCUUUUAUUUUCCUUAAACUAGAUAUUGAUUGUUAGAUUGUUUGCUUACAUACUUGCGUGAUCCAAGGAUGUGACCAAGACCCGAUUAGCGGGUCCAGAAGGUUGAAGCCAAAAGGCCGACCGUCCACAAGACGAAUAGACGCAUUAGCCUGACCAGGCUCUGACAAGAAGCCAAGGAUCCAAAAUACAAGAAGUCAAGACCCUGGUCAACCUAGGAAACGUCGAUGAAGGCAAAUCCUAGCACCCACCCUUUUGAUCAUAUUUUUAUCCUAUAUUUACAUAGAUAUUAAAAUUUAUCAAGAUAAUAAGUUGACUUGCAUCUUCUUAAAAACAUAUAGGAGCAACCCACGUCUGUUUACUUUCUUGCCUUGACUUAAAGCUGUUUCUAGCCAAAAUCCUAUUAAUGACCCCGGUCACGACAAGAUCGAUCACCGAGCAUCAUUUAGAAACAGAAUUCCUUAGGAAUAUCACAAUCAUUAUGUUUUUAUGGAAAACCCUAUAAGGUGUGAGUUUAAUAAAAUGAACCAACUAAAGAGUUAGAAACACCUAAGGACAGGACAUGCGAGUAAUGGGGCAACCUUGUUGGAGGAUUCUGUCCUAAUGCUUACUUCGGUCAUAUAACUACCGGCUCGUGGGAAAGUCUUUCUAGUGAAACAUGCAACCAUAUGUGCCAAAAAGGUACGGCCUUUGGGAGUGCCUAAUCAUGUCAGGACUUGAUUCACACCGCACCAGCGGAACCUAGUAAACCAUCCCAAGGGGCCAUGGUGGGCAACAGGUAGACUGGAGCAGGACCUUCGCAGAGUCCCAGGUCUAGUCGCCACUGGUCAUAGGUUGAGGUCAAGAGGACCUGGUGGCAUUGUAUGCCACAUUAUGAUGCAUCUCUUUUUUCUAGGAUAGUGUCCCUGUGUGAACAUAGUAUGGCCCCUGCUUAGACCCCAGUUGUAUCUGUGGAUGGAGCUAGGAAAUGUUGUCUAAGAAUACAUGUUGGUGGGUACGGGUCUCAUAGGUCAGUACCACCUAAAGUUGAGGUAUGGGCUGAUCGACCAUAUGGGUAAAGUGUACACCUCUGCACAGAGUCAUAAAUCUAUCUGGAUAGCCAAGGCUCACGGUUAUGAGUCCAAAUAGUCAAAGCUCCCAUCGAUUUAAAAUCAUAACUUGAGUGUGGUAAGAUGGGGCCAAGGCCUAAGAAAGUGAUUUAUAAUGAGGCAUAAGCCGACCCAGAAGGACUCUGAUGGUCUCUGGUGCUCUUUAAAACUUGGGAACUGGUAGGGGAGGUAGGAUUCCCCCUCCAGGGCCAACAAUUUAAUAAAAGUGAUACUUACUUCUCCUCCUUUUCCAAAAGUCACAUCACCUUGUAUAAAAUAGAUUUAUUGAUAAAAUCAAACCUCAUAACCUUUCCUUGAUCACCCCUGCAUAUAAUAUAAUUUCAACGCUAGGAUUUGCUGAUUACCAUGCAUAAGUGUACUCAGACUUGCUUUCAUUUAUACAAGAUUAGGACUUAUCUAGUGCCCUAACUUCAUUCUGCUUGUGGAAUGGGUAACCGCACCGCUCUCCACCACUUAAGGGUAAAACCCUAUUUUCUAUAAUUUUAUGUGUCUUUUAUUACUUUGACACUAAUUUGUAGUGAGGAUUGUAUCAGCUAUUGAUCCAGGGACUAAUAUAGGUAAUCAGCAGGUUUUUCAAAAGGAAGACGCUACAGUUCACAAUGAUCUAAGGGAAUAUACAAUAUUUAAAAUCUAAAAUACUACAAUAAGGCUCUAUUUUUGUUUGGAACUAAGAAGAUGAAUAUGAAAAUCUGCUUAGAUGAUUUUGUGGCAUUUUGGGGAAUUUCUUGGAAUUUUGGAACUAAAAUGGAUAAAGAUAGUUUUUUGUUAAAGGGAAAUAAAAUUUCCUAAGGAAUAAAUAUGUGAUCGUUUAGAAAAAUAUUUUCGCUAGAUCUGGAAUUUGGUGGUAAACACGAGGACACAAGACAUAGAUUUAUACAGGUUCAUCCCCCUAGUGUAGCGUAAUAUCCUAAGUCUUGUUUGGUGUAGUAUAUUGCGCCCUACGCUUGGGUAUUGAGAUUGCUCUCAUUGGGUUGAGGUGCCGAUCGAGGUAGCCCUCCCUCCUUUAUAUAUCCCUCCCAGGGGCCGGAUUACUAAUCGGUUACAAUGUAGGAGUCCUAGUAGGAUUACAGAAAAAUCCUAGUAGGAGUCUAGAUUCUGCCUUCCUUGUGGGGUACCUAGGGAUGUAUCCUCGACAGCCUGGAACCAUCAAACAAGCAUGAAAGACUAAAACAGCACAACUUACAUUCGCUUCAACAAGAACAGCUGUAUUUCUCUUUUUUUAUCUAUUAAUCUAUAACGACAAUGUAGCAAACAAAUACAUCUUUAAAAUCUACAAAACAUACCCUACAACUUUCACCAAUCUUUUUAUUUUGAUUCAAACUCUAAACAUUCCUAAUCUUCACUAAAAUUCAGACUAUGAAAUCUACUUGUAAUGCUAACAGUCAUAGGUAAAAUGUUGAUAUAUAUUAUGAAAUUUUACUAGACAAUAGGUUGGCAUAAAAUGUUCUGCAGACCUUCGGUCCUUUGAAACAUCCCGAGCUUAACUCUAAAGAAUAAACAUAAGAUGUCAAAUGGAAUAUCUUCGACGAGCUGUACACAUUACGUGUCUCCAGUCACUAAUACAAGCGAUGGAUCAAAAAGUCAAAUCUUUGCCUCUGUUCAAAAUUCCUAGAGAAACAUGAACCCUUUUAGGCUUUCUAAAAUAUAAAGCAUUACAUCAAACGUACGUUCCAGUGAGUUUCAUAAAAAACCAAAAAUUAAAAUCAUAAACCAAUUAUUUUCUUAACUAAACGCAUAGAACGACAUUCUAAUUUAUGAGCACAAAAUGAUUAGGGGGUGUAUGGGAGCUCAAGCCCCCCAACAAUCCCACAAACAAUGGAGCCAUCCUCCUCCCAACACACACGCAAGCACACACCCCACCACCACCUUCACCACUUUUAUGGAGAAAGAAGGACCUAGAAGAAAGAUGAGCACCUCUAGCUUGUCACCUGAAGGAAUGUGCAAGACUGCCGGACUAGACCACCAGGCCGCGAUGAACAAGAAUUCAUUCUAAUAGGACUAUUUCUUCUGUUGUUAUCACUGAAAAGUUAAAAGAGAUAAUGCAUACAUGCAAGAGAGACAAAAUUGAUGAUCUCAACCCACAUGCAAAAUAGUUUGAAACUUAAAAAAUCAUAAAUUUUACACUAAGCAUCAAAAUUAAAUUUUUAUUAUAAUAAGGCCUUGAAAAUAAGAUCCACUUAACUAUGUUUCGAUGAAUUUUUUAGGAAGAAUUUCUCACGUGCCACUGGUUAAACUCGAAAUCCCUUAUAUGCCACUGUCAGUGAUUGUGGGGGGUCCCACGUGUCAUAGACACAACAAUGCCAUAUAAGGGAUUACAAGUUUUCUCGGUGGCAAAUAAGGAAAUUUCCCAUUUUUUAUUAACAUUUGUUAUUAAGAUGAUAUAUUUUACACAAGACAUGUACACGUGCUAAAAAUUCAACGGUAUGUAUCCCUGAAACAAAGACAUAGCGAAUGUACAUGUCGAAUAGAUUACUCGAGGUCAUAGAACGAAGACAUGUACUCCUACAGUAAAUUAUACAAACUCACAUAGCAAACAUAUGUAUCCCUGAAACAAAUUAUACAGUAUACUUGAAUAAAAUAAUUGUAUACAUUGAUCAAAUUAUAUAAACUCACAGAACAAAAUACAUAUCUACCUGGAAUAAACUAUAUGAUGUUCUCAAACAAAAUAAAGAUAUGCAUCGAACAAAUUAUACAAACUCAUAUAACAAAUACAUGUAUAUACAUGAAACUAAUUAUAUGAAGUCCUUUAACGAAAUAAUUAUACACAUAGAAAGAAUUAUAGAAACUCACGGAACAAAUAGAUGUAUACCCAAAAAAAUUAUAAGACGUUCCUGAAUAAAAUAUUUCUAUGCAUUGAACAAUAUACAAACAAAAAAUUAUGAAUAAAAAAUAAAAAAUAUAUAAAAGAGGUGAAAAUGAAACAUAAGAUAAAAAAAUAAAAUAUUAAAAAGAAAUGAAGAUAAAAAUAAAUUAGAAAUAAUUAUAUAAAAAGGUAAAAUAAAACUAAAAGAAAUAUAAAUAUAAGAAAAAUAAAGAAAAUAAAGAAUAAAAGGAAAACAUAAAAAAUAGAAAAAAAGUAAAGGGAAAGAAAUAGAAAUAAAGGAAUAAAGGAAAAAUUAAGAAAAUAAAAUAAAAAGUAAAAGAAAAGACAAAUAAACAUUAAUACAAAAGUUAAUAUAUUAAAAAAGAAAGGAUAAAAAUAAGAAAACAUAAAAAAGAUGUAUAGACAUUAAUAUUACAUGAAAUAAAUAUUUGUGCACCAUAGUUAUAGAUGAAAUUAUUUAAAUAGAUCCGCUAUACGUAAUGAUGGUGCAAUGGUAGUGCUUUUCGCUCACGAGUAAAAUGUUUUGUCUAACCUUUUGCCUCCAUUAUUUUUGUUGAAUUUCUCCCGCCCCGCAAAAUAAAAAAGAUCGGUCCAAAUCUAGUAGGUCGAAAUGGGCUGAAAGCUGCAGAAAAGAAGAAAAAUAAUCAAUGGACCGAAACUGAUCCAACAGACCAAAAAAUUAAGUGCGCUGAAUUUCUCUGCAACCGUGGGCGUGCGACAGGUUCCGGUUUUGCGGGUUCCACCCAUAUUUCUGAGGUGUCUUGUUACGAGAAAUUUCAUUAUUUGGAUCCCACGAUCGAACUCUCUCAUCCCCUCACUGAAACAACUACAAAGCCUGCGACACGCCACGACUAUUGGUAAGCAAAACGGUAGCUAGAAAUGGUACGGAUGGAAUCUAGCCGUGCACCCUAAAUGAAUACACGUUCCUUAUUUACUGAUGGCAAAGCAUAGGUUGCUACAUCUCACAGCACUAGCUAGUAGUACAGAUAAGCAUAAACAACAUGCCAUUGUACGUGUAAUCACCAUACGACCGUCGACAGCGGUCCGUAUACAUACGCAACGCCUAGACGUGUAUUAUUAACUCUUGAUACAUCACAAAUGUACGUGGGCCCUUUCAGAGGGCUGAAUGAAGCAGAUCGAAGCGGAACUCAAGUGUAGCGGCCUUCGUUCAGGCAUGCUCUGCAACGGAGGGUGGGUACACGACUCUGCUGGGCUUGCGAUCCGCAAGCGACCCGUGCCAAGUCAGCAACUGCACACACAGAGCGAGCAACAUCGAUGAAUGAAGCAUAUGCACAUGAGAAGCAUGAACGAUCGAGAACAUCAAUUAUUCCAACCUUGGCGUUGGAUCCGUCGGGGACGACGCGUCCCUCUCCCUUGAGCUUGAGGUACUCGGCGCGCGAGAAGUCGGUGAACCCCCUGCCUCAUCAAAAUAAACGGCUGAGAUCGAACCACCCUAGCUCCUCCUCCUCUCAUCAGCAAGGAGAAGAACGACAACACGUACCACUUGCCGCUGGUGAUGAUCCUCUGCCGUCCGGGGAACUUGAACUUGGCCCUGCGCAGCGCCUCGCGCGCCUGGGCCGCGUGCGCGUCGCGGCACCUCACCGAGAGGAGCACCUGGCCGAUGCCGACGCGCGCGCACGUCCCCGUGGGCUUGCCGAAGGCGCCGCGCAUGCCGGUCUGGAGGCGGUCGGCGCCGGCGCAGGAGAGCAUCUUGUUGAUGCGGAGGACGUGGUAGGGGUGGGCGCGGACGCGGAGGUGGAACGCGUCCUUCCCCGCGUGCUUCGCCAUGUACUUGUUGCACGCGAUCCGGGCCGCCUCCAGCGACUCGCUGGAGACGUUCUCCUUCUCCCAGCUCACCAGGUGCACGCACAGCGGGAACUCCUCCACGCCGCGCCGCUUCUGCCCCACGUCGAAGAUGCGGAUCUUCGGAUCCGGGACGCCACGGUUGUACCGGGACUUUGGGUACGGCUUGUUCUUGAUCUGACGGUAGCAACGCCACGGCCCUGCAAGAUUGGCGUGUUGGUCGUCGAUUGAUCGUUACACAUCAACUAUGGAGACGAAGAAGAAAUGAAAGAACACGCGAGCUAGAUGAUGGGUGCUUACUCCUGCCCAUGGUGAGAGUUCGGAGGUGACUACAGGAGGUGGUGAGGUGUUUGGUGAGGGAGAAUAACGGGAGUGUGAGGGAGGAGAGGAGGCCAGGUAGUGGUGUGGGUAUAAAGGAGUAGAAGUAGACGGCCGCGGCGGGGAGGGCGAGUGCGGGAAGGUUCUGGUACGCCGGGAACGCGUGGCGCUAGACGGCCAAUAGGCGGAGGUUGCGUUCGGGCUGUAACGUAGGCGGUGACGCUGACGCCUCGCGGCUCGCGCGGCUGGAGUGUGUGUAUGAACCGGACAGAGUGGAGGAGACGCGUUUGGUCCAGAGAGGCUCCAAGGGUUUUGAUUUUGACUGCUCACAGGGUCGGAGCCCAACCUGUUUUGGGCUGGGCCGUUUUCACCUCGGAGCCGUCGCUUCGUCGUGGAUCGCUUAGUAGUGGUGGCACCAAAAAACUGUUUACUUCAGGAUGACAAACCUGGCAUAUCAGAUCACACUUCCCGGUUCCAUUAACCAGUUUCUUCAUUUUUGACCUUCACUUUUUAUUUUCAAUUGUUGUUGGUAGGAUCACAAUCAAAUGGAAUUUGGCCAAUGCAAAGUUCAGGAUGCAGAGUUGUGUGGCCUUUUGCUCAGAACGUUUUAGGAGCGUUCUGAUUAGUGACUGCCAUGGGGGCACCUAUCUAGCUUCUGUGUGCGAGAUAGGGAGGAUGGCUUAGAGGUCCAUUAGAGCCCAUCCUCCACCUCACCUUCUUUACCAGUGCGGCACCACCUCUUCCCCUCCUCCAGCACCCCGGCCAGCAGCAGGUUCACCGCCACGCUGCCCGCCCAACAACCGCUGCCGCCCCCUUGACCCUAUCCUUCCUAAUCCCGCGGCUCGUCGCCCCACCCUUCACCCCCACCCCCCAGCUGGCCAACCCGCCACCACCGUCGGGCAUGCGCGCCGCCCACGUCCUCCUCUUCUAUACCCACCGGCCAUUGGAGCUCCAAUCCCAGCAACCUCGAACCAUAACCUUAACCACAUCGCUGCCUCCACCACCCUAGCCGGCCACUCCCCUCACCCCCCACUUCCCUUCCCACCCCUCUAGCGAGCGAUGGCAGUGCUUGUGAGCAGCGGCGGCGCGUGAGCGAGCAAGAGCGAGUAAGAGGAGGAAGAGAUAGCACGAAACUCAAACACCAUAAUCCAUCUAGCUUCCGGGUUUUCCAGGGAUGGGGGAGCUGCUACCUGGUCCAGCCCAUGAAACACCAAUUAUCCCUAUGGAUCAGUGGCCCAGCUUAGGUCAUGGAAAAAGAAGUCUCAGCCCAGGCUAGUGAACGUAGCAGCAGCCCAAGAAGCAAGUGCAGCCAACAGAGGCACCGGUGCUUUCAUUGUGGUUUUUCUUUUUCUGGUAGCUGUAUUGUUUAGCUCAACACUAGUAACAUUUUAGCCAUAAUCUAUUAUUCAGACCCUUUUAAUUUAAUCCUAGGUCUGCCACUGGUCACUGUGGUUACUGUGCGUCCUGGUGGUGUGAGUUGUGAUUGUGAUCCAUCUUGUAGAUAGCAAGGAAAUCUUCAGUCUAUCAGCCUUAGAAACCAAGGCCGAGCUGUUGAGAUUCAGCCUUGUCAGCUCAGUUGUAUGGGGUGCAUCGCGGCGUGUCGAGUGUGUACUGACGUGUUUCUACAGCAUUGUGUCGUUCAGGGUGUUGCUACUAGAGGCUAGCCAGCGCUGCCAGGGUUCCGGUGAUGAUGCCCGGGUCAAUCGGCCAAGAUGGUACUAGGGAGGCCGGCCGGACAUAGUGCUGACCACCUGAUAGCGGCCGCUGCUCUUAAACAAGACCAACCUCAUCCGUCCAUGAAACUAUAUGCCUAGCUAGAUGGUACGAGUUAUAUUUGUAAUUGACCCCUUUUUGCCCUUCCAACAGAUUGUCUCUUGUGUCUGUCAUGCAUGUGGGCCUGGGUUCAGAAUGCCAUGUACGACAAGUAGGUCCAAGCAAAUACGACGGGAAGGUGUACAAUAGAAGGCAAGUAGGCACCACACAUGCAUCAAACAGAAUAUUCCGCAAAGCUAAUACAACAGUCGACCAUCCCCAUCAAAACUCCGUGUCAAUGAUUCAUGUGGCGAGGGUCCCACACACCCUUAUCAUCUCUAUCUCUGUUCCAGUCUCACCUCGGCUGCCCCGGGUUUCUCUGCAUAUGAUUGGUACGAUGGGCAGAAUGGGUCGAUCCCAUUUAUCAAAGUAUUUGGUUCAAGGACACGCCACGAUGAGUUCAUCCCUAAAGAGGAAUAUUCCCUCUAUAUGCGGGAUGACUUCAUCCCAUCAAAAUUGGCAUACGUGGACGUCCCUCUUCUUCCCCAUCACAAUCGUUUUACUCCAUCACAAGCUGAUGCAGCACGAGUCGAGGGACGGGAUGAGGCCGGUGGCAGCGGCACCUUGAGGGCCGGUGAGGACAAGAUCUUGAAGCGGCGCGGACAUGGCCGGGCAGGGCAAGCUCUGAGCCGGCGCCGGCGCAUCCAUGGCCUCCCAUCGCUCAUUCUUGAGCCUCCGUGUGAGGGUCCUGGCAGAGCUCAUGGCGGUGAGAGCGAGCGAGGCUCGGCCAAGCUCACGGCGACGAGGGUGAGCGGGGCCUCAGCUGAGCUCACAGCAGUUGGGAAGAGCAGGACCCCGGCGAUGGAGGCAAGCGGAUCUUGAUUUGGCUCGUUCCUUCAUUGAUUUGUGAGAAUGAGUAGUAAAAUGGGUUCACAAGACAUCAACGGAACAUAGAUGAUGAAUUUCAUCCAAGACUGGUAUCAAGUUUUGAAGGACGAAGGGGAAAAUGGGAGAGAGCAGAGGAAGAAGAUUGGAAAAAGGAGGCUGACAUACGGGUCCCGCAAUAUAGGCAGAUAAUGGUGUUAGAACGUCAUCCAUUCUAUUCGACCUAUUCCUCCUACCAAAUAGAAAACUGGGUCGGACCUAUCACAUCUCAACCAAACGUUGAACGGCAUCCCAUCCCACAAAACUGGGACGUGAUUGUCCCAUCCCACUUUAUCUCCAAACCAAACACACGCUCCCUCUCUUCUCUCUUAGCCCUCUGACGCCCUCGGAGACGGUCCUCGAGCCUCGCGCACCUUGCCACCGGGAGGCAGCCCCGUCCCUUCCCCCGUGCACCUCGCUGCCCCGGACGUGACCCCAUCCCCUCCCCGUGUGUGCCUCGCCGUUGGGCCAAGGCCCACAUCCCAGCCUCCACCCUUGCGUGCCUCACCACCAAGAUGCGGCACCAUCUCUACGUUUCUCUCCUCAAGCAGGCAUCCUGUCCCACCUCGCCACUAAGCCUUGCCAAAGAAGUAGUCGAGCCUAUCCAUGGACCGGUGCGCCAUGCCCAUGAGGGCCUCCUUGAAGGAAGGUGGCCCGGGCUUCCAUCAUGGGUAGAGGAAGCUGGUUUCAUCUAGUGGUUGUGUAGGGAGGCCAUCACAGUGAGCUUUUCAUGGCCUGAGCACAGAUUUUUUUCAAAAAUUUCUGUUUAGAUUUUUAAAAAAAUGUUUUCAUGUUGUUUAUUAAAAAAAAUUCUACCAAAUUUGAGUUUCUCAAUUUUGCUUCCAAAAUUUUGUUUCAAAACUUUUGGAUCCAAUUUUUGUCAUUCCAUUUUUAAUCAAAAUUUUGUUCAGAUUUUUUCUUUUUCGUUUUGAUUUUUUGUUCUCUGACCUUUUGUUGUUGCGUUUUGAGGUCCUUAAGCGCCGGAUCGACUUACGCUGAUGGUAGAUCAAGGCUGCUUGACUAUGUUGCCGUCAACUUCCCUCCAUCCUCCGGCGACGUCUACUAUCUCAUCUUCCUCUUUCUCAAUGCCUAUGCCUCUAAGGCCACGGGUUCCGGCAGUCUCACGUUCCAAUGCCUCUCUAACCUGCGAACCCCUAGCGUUCACUGACGAAGUUGAUGAGAUGAGGGGGUUGUUCAUGUGCGGCAAAUGAUAGGAAUGGGUUCGAUCAUUUGGGAGGUACUAGCCCAUGGCCCGCCGGCCUGUGCGAUGAGAAGUGGGAGGACCUAGGAGCGGCAGCACGUGUGCGACUAUUCGGAGAAUAACAGGAUUGGUUGCACCACACUGGGUUCGCCUUCAACGGCGUGAUGAAGAAGGGAAUGAAGGAAAAUUUUCACACCAUGCUCACAAUUUUUUUGCGCAUACUGUGAUCUGAGAGGUUGGAUUGUGGAAAAUACAGAGCUUAAUGUAGCACCUUGAAAAAAAUUGAUGCUUGUAGCAUAAGAGGGGAGGGUGAAUUAGGCAAACUAAAAAUUUUAACCUAUGGCUAUAACUAUUUUGCAUAAAAACAUAGAUUAUAUCAUACUAUCUAGAUGUAAAUAUGAUUCAGGAAACUACCCACCACAAAGAGUUUUGCAACCAAGAACUAAUCCUAGCAAGAACUACUCUAUGGAAGUAAAGUAAAGGUACACAAGUUGCAAAUAAGAAAUGAGGAAACAUAACGGAGUGGAUUAGGAAAGGUGUAAACUAAGAACGAUGAUUUAUCCCAUGGUAUCGGUAGGCAAAUGCCACACCUAUUCCACAUUGAGCUCCACCAAGGAUAUGCUCCCGGUCACCAAGUCUCUUCCAGCCAAGGUCUUGGACUCACCACUAAGGCUCUCGCCAAGCUGGAUGAGAUGCUUGCCGCAAAGACAAGGCUCACCAUUGCCUCUCUUCCGAUCACUUUGAUGAUGUAUCCACUAUGGAGAUCUCCACAAAGAAAGGGGUCUCCUUAUCCCCCGCACAUGGUCGCCGUCACCGCUCCACGCCAAGUCGAAGGGUUGAAGACUUGCCAUCGAGUUAUAAGUCCACAUGGUGCUUGCGCACCAAGCUUACAAUGAUGGUUCACUCCUUGAACCAAUAAUAAGGAACCGAUAAUAAGGUAGCAACACCUUGCACUCACUCUCUCUAGGCCUAUUGUUGCACUAAUUACUCUUUCUAAGCUUGUGCUAAGCCUUAGAUGAUCACUUUUGCACUUUUGGUGGCAUGUAUGUGUUCUUGGUGAAUCUUCAUCUUCAAUGGACUUGUGCACACUCCAGCAACCCCAAAUGGGCGAGUAGAGGGGGUAUAAACAGCCCAAACCAUCAAAGGAGCCGUUGCUCCAAUGGCUAGCUGAACAUAUUGAUGAGCAUCAGAUGAUCCGAUGGUCACAUGGGGUAGGCAUCGGAUCAUACGGUUCCCCCUGCUCAUGCAUAUAGCCGUUGGACCCCCUCCCGCAAAUUCAUUUGAUGCUUUAUCCGACAGUGUGUCGGAUCAUCCAGUUCCACUCCUCUUUUAUCCAAAACACAAAAUUCAUUCAAUCCUUGAUCCGAUGGGCAUCGGAACAUUCGGUGUUGAAGAGUAUUUUGUCCGAAAUUCUCUAGUUGAUUUUAAAGUAAAUAUGCUUAGUCCAACGGUCACAUGCACUAGGGUGUUGGAUCAUCCGAUGGUACAAGGAUUUCUCUAUCUUCACUGUGCAUUGCUCCGACACUUGUAAACAUGACCCCAUGAGAUCAUCCGGUGCACUUGGGAUUUUUGUUGUUAUACCAAAUGCUCUGACACUUGCUUCAAUGGGUUGUCGGAUGAUCCAACGCUAUGUAUUUUUCUAAUUUGAAUACCAAAAUUCAAUACUACCACUUGGAUACUUUAGAAUUAUUCUAUCUCUAGAUUGACUAUCAUUUAGAUCCCAUUACUCGAAUACCAUGACUUGAAUGUCGUGUGUCGGCCAUACAUCUAUGGGCCCACCGGGAGGCUUGGAAAGUCCUACAUACAGGGGCUAUACACCAAGACGUGUCAAACGUGGAGACUACGGUACAGGACGGCGUGGUCUUUGUGGAGGACAAGGACUAGUUGAGGAUUAGGAAGCUACUCAAAGCAAUUAGAGUAGGACUCUCUGGUCGAAUCUGACUAGUACUCUUAUACAAGAACCGACCUCUAACCCUACCCCCGGCAAUAUAAGGCGAGGCAGGGAUCCCCUCCAAAGAUCUCAGCAAUCAAUAAAAACCAACCAACACACAGGACGUAGGGUAUUACGCGACAUUAGCGGUCCGAACCUAUCUAAAUCGUGUGUUCGAGUUCACCUUCGAGUUCCUAGUCUUCGGCGAGCCCCACGCACAAAACACUACAUCAGGUACCCCUCGGUAGGUUGCCGGAUCUAAACAUCGACACCGUGACUUGGAUACCAUACAAUAAUUCUAGAUACCACGGCUUGGACUCUUGAAUAGAGUGAUUUGGAUCUUACCAUUGUUUGAUUUGCAAUCUUAAGACCUAUAAAACCUACAAGGUACAUGCUUGACAAACCAUUAGUCCCAAUGACUACGUUGUCGAUCAAUUACUAAAAUCACAAACUAUAGUCUAAUGGGGCCAUGUUUAUUACACACCUGGAACUGCUAAUUGAAAAUUAGAUUGUAACAAGGCUGUAAAGAAAAUGACCUUAGGCUAUAAUGAUUUUGGUGAUUAAUGCUAGCAUAGUCAUUGGGACUAAUAUUUUUGCAAGAUAUACCUUUAGAGGUGUUUUAUAGGUUCUAAGGAUAAGCCAUCAAAAUGAGAAGACAAAGAAAAAAUUAAAAGAAUUCUAUGGCAUCUAAAUGAUGGUAAUAAAGCCAGGACAAAGGUACGCGAAGACUUGAAGUGAAUCCUGUUGUAAAUGUGCACCCAUGCAUUCCACCGAUUCAUACGGUGACCAUUUGCAAAGUUAGCAAUUUAGUCAGUGACCGUUAACAGUAGCAGGGCCAAGACAGUGUGCAUUGUGACCACCAACUCAUACUUUGUGAAUAGUGGGCCACCACAGAAUCAGUCAGUGUGAUCAGCUCCGCUCGCGAUCAACUCAAAGUCUACUCUGGAAUUUUUCAAAGUUAUUUGAGGCCUCAUCGAUUCAUACAGUGGGACCAAAAACCAGUGUGUUAGAUCAGUCGGUGAUAGAACAUAGAGGAAGGCAACAACUCAGGGGUCACUGACUCAUUCGGUGAUGCCCAUACAUGCCACCGAAUCAGUGGGUGAUGGUGAUAGAAGAUAGAGGAAGGCAACAACUCAGGGGUCACCGACUAAUUCACUGAUGCCCAUACAUGCCACCGAAUCAGUGGGUGAUGCAUGUAGGGCUCGGGCAUCAACUGCCCCAGAGCUAGCUGAGGUGGCAGCACUGAUUCAUCCGGUGCUACCCCUUACCCACCACUGAAUCAUUCGGUGAUACACAGAGAGUUGCAACGGCUACGCAAUGGCUGGAUUUUGGAGUUGGUGUUAUAAAUACCCCAUUCCCGGCCAUUUCAAGUGUGUUAGAGCUUGGAGAACCUAUAGGCUUAAUUUCCAUAUAUAAAUAAGUGAUCUAUCCACCAAAGUGCUCAAGAGAAGAUUAAGGCAAUUAGUAUGAGGCAUCGGUAUUGAUUAGUGCUAGUUUAGGCCUAUUAGCGCAUUGUUUUAGGGAUUAGCCUAGAGUUAGGCGAGGUUUGCACACCUCUUUGUUAUCAGUGCUUGCGCGCACCAAGAGUUAUAAAUUCGGGAUUUGUAAGUCUGGCGAGACCCUCCAAAAAUGUUUGUGGAGUGGGUGCCGGUACAUGUGAAAGGGAGUCGAGGCCCUUGCCAUUUUGCCAAAGAUCUACCAAGUGAAAAGCGGUGAGGAGCUUUCGGAAGAGGCUAGGAGGAUACCCACUUGCACGUGGGGAAGGCCCGUCAGCUAUCCUAUAGAGUUAUUUGACUGGGGAGCUUAUGCCCUGGGCAUUCCCUUGAGAGAGGCUCCAACAAGGGCUUGCGGAAAGCUUUUCUUUCUGAUACCUCAAUAAAAAAUCGUCGUGUCACCAUACCGGGAGUUAACCUUCUCUACCUCACUUACCUUCUGCAUUUCUUAUUGCACUUUACUUUUUGCGUUUAGCUUUCCUAAAAUUGCCAUGUCUAGUUUAUAGGAUUCGAACUUAGGAUCCAAAACUAUUUUGUGGUAGAGAUAGCAACACAUAGAAAAACCUUGUGCAUAUCUAGAUAGAAAUUGGAAUAUGUUUUUAUAAGUGCUUCGAGCCUUAGUUUUUAUAACAUCCAGUUCACCCCCUCCUAGUGAUGAGGACACCACCAUGGUGGAUACACACGAGCCAUGGCCUUCACCAAGUUACGAGUCAUCGCCAACUUAAUCUUCACGUUCGGUUCAGAAUCAGCCAACAACCCUGGACGAAAACGGUGAUACCACCUUCAUAUGACAUCAAAGCGAGGCGUUCUUUGAUGCGUUGGAAAGCUGACGACAAAAAUUUUCUUUUGGUUCUGAUCCUAGCUCUAGAUGCCUCAUGGAUCAUUCUGUGUGAUCAUGACAAGGUGAUGCAUCACUAGUUUUGGGCCAUGUCGGUCGGGCCUUAAGCCCAUGUUGUGGGCACCCCCAAUCCUAGGACAUUCCCUUUACAUAUAAACUCAAUAGCUGUCGCAUUAGAAAUUGAAGUUUUGUUUAGUUCUAGUUUUCCUUUGAGAAAUUGAGAUCGAUCAUUGUAACUAUGAUGACAAGUCCUUUUACUGUGAAUCAAAGCCCUGGUUCUUGUUUUGUCAAAUGUGGUGAUUAGUCCUUUAGUGUGUUGAGAGCUUGAACCUUUUAUUCAGAUCUACUUCAUAUAUAUCUGCAAUUUCAGAUUGCGUUCUUUCACUUUCUUGCUUAUGUUCUUCGAUUCGUUUACAGAGAAAGCCUUCAUGGCAAGGUCAAUCAAGUUGUACUUGGUUGAGAACCAAUGGAGCAGUUGUGUAGCGGUUGCAGGGAUUCGUAUCGUGUCUGAUUAGAAAACUGGAUCUUCACUGUCGAGUUCUCCACCGAUCGAAUUUACCAUAUCUAUAGAAAGAUCGAGCAAGUGCUAAGAUGCUACAUCACUUAGGGUGUCAUGCGCAGUCCCUUCAAAGGCUCAAACUGCUAAUUUAAAGAGAAACUACGUGGAAGUUCCACCAGUACUUUUCCAACCAUUGUAACAAGGCUCAAACUAUGGAUUUCUUUGCCAGCUAUAGAUUGUGUGCUAGAGCCUAGAGGAGCAUUAUGAGUUUUGUGACACUUGAGAACUUUUUUCAUUGUUUGCGAUUCUGUAUAUUGUAAUAAGUAUCAUGCUAUCAGGACAUGACCAUCGUCUAAAAAACUGGAGUGGUGAAGACAACAAUAAUACUUCUUGAAUGUUUCACCAUAACUACAGUUAGCCAAAAGGAUGCAAACAAAGCAGUAUCUACGAUUCAAAAGGGCGAACAUAAACACCAAUUGCAUCAAGAUACUUCCCAGAGCGCCCAAAGAAGCCAACAAUGCUGCCAGUUCUGUCUACUCGAGUGUGAAAGGGGGUUCCACUAGGUUGUCCGAAAGGUCCGUAGCUGCAUAAAUUGGUCACCAGGGUGAAUGACGUAAUAACAUUAGGAAGAUGAGAGAAACGACCGUAUGUCCCGGAAACCUCCUUCACAAACUCUGACGGACCAAGGUUAAUCUGCAAAUCAAGGGAAAACAGAAUAAUCAAACCACAAUCACAAUAUCCCUUAUAGGCUUCGGAAAAAUGACAUUUCAUCCUCAACAAAAAUCUCGGUUGUUUUUGGACCCGGGUCUAAAUUUCGUAGUCCUUGAAGACACAUUUAGUCCCGGUUAAUGUUACAAACCCGGACUAAAAGGUCUCCCACGAGUUACUACAAAAGGAUUGCAUCCCCUACUCAGUUAGAUGUCUUGUGUAGGUGAGAUGGUAAGGAAGCUACGCGCGAGACUUGAGGUCGUGGGUUUGAAUCCCACGCACCGCGCACACGCAUAUUUCUUUUAGUCGUGGGUUAGUAUUACCAAUCAGGACUAAAGAUGUUUCUUUUAGUCGGUAAAAGACACAGGACUUUUAGUCCCAAAUGAUUAAUCCCGGUUGGGAAAACCGAUAUCUAUGAAGUUUCCCAACCAGGACUAAUACCCGUUUCUCUACCAGUGUUUGCUAUUUGUCAAAAGUUCAUAGACUGAUCACAAUACAAUGAAUUAUCAGCCACAAUCCUGGCUGGGACACGGGUAUCUUUAAGGAUUUUUUGUGAAUUUUGUGUUCUAAUCGGUGUGCGGAUUGUGUCCUACAUCAAACUAUAAUGAUUCGGUCGAUAAAAAUGUACGUGUUGAUGUAUUCGUUCCUUACCAGUUAAUAAUGAAAAAAAUCAUCUAGAGAAAAGGAAAGAGCUCUUUUUGAUACACAAUACUACUACUUAAUGGUAAAAGGAAAAUUCUAGGAACACACUCACCAUACGGAUACUCCCCCCAACACCACCCCAAAGUGGCGUGUUGUGUUCCCUCCCAUAUCUGUCGAGGUAGGAAAAACUGAGUGAAUCCACCACCACAGCACUACAAACUUUCACGCUUUUUAGACUUUUGGGUGCCAUUGUGAUGUCACGAGUGCUCCCUCCAUCUCCGCCCCAUGGCCCUCUUCUCUGAAGAACAACCUCAAUCCAGUAAAAAGUUGCAAAGUUAGUACAACUAAACAACGAAAAACAAGAUUAACAAGUGUGGACGAAAAAGGAGACACGUUGUAGGCUUCUUUUCGGUUUAUUCUCUGAAUAUGCAGAUCGUGACUAUUGUACAAGGAAGCACCUUAUAGGUAUUGGAUAUCACUAUUGUGGAAUCUAGGAGUAGGAAUUGAUGUAAUCAAUUCUACACUUAUUUGGAAUCAACAAACAAGUUUUAGCAAUACACUAGUAGAGAAUUGGCUUUCGAUACGCCCCCUUUUGUCCCGAUUUAAAGUUAGCCCGGGAUAAAAGGUUCACCAACCGGGACUAAAGCUCGGUCACUGGUGGGGGGCUCACCAACCGGGACCUUUUAUCCCGGUUGCAAAGGCUAGUGGGAAAAAAAAGACCCUGAGAGGCCUUUUAUCCCGGUUUGAAACACCAACCGGGAUAAAAGACCCCCCUUUUUAUCCCGGUUGGUGUGUCGAGAGCCUUUUAUCCCGGUUUGUAAUACCAACCGGGAUAAAAGGGGGUCAUUUAUCGUGGUUGGUGUUUCAAAUCGGGAUAAAAGGAUCCCCAACGAGGUGACUGAAAGAGGACUAAAUCCCUCGAACCCUUUUAUCCCAGUUUGUAAUACCAACCGGGAUAAAAGAGGGUCUUUUAUCCCGGUUGGUGUUUCCAACCGGGAUAAAAGGGUCCCCACGAGUUAAUACAAAAGGAUAGUAUCCCCUAUAUAGUCAGAUGUGGUGUGUAGGUGGGAUGGCAAGAAAGCUACACGCGAGGCUGGAGGUUGUGAGUUCGAAUCCCACGCAGCGCGCACGCACAUACUUCGCGUGAAAAAACGCGUGACCCGGGACUCAAGGCCAAUUCUCUACUAGUGAUAACAUAUUUAUUUCAGAACUUCCCCAAAUAUCUUAGAACUGGAUAUGAUUUUGGCAAUAACAAACUUUUACAUUAAUUUUGGCAUCGGGCAUUUAAUCUCGUCAAAAACUCCAAAUUUCAAUUGCACAUGAACAUGCUUUCAGUGACAACGAUAACUUCCUGUUAUCUUAUCGGCGCAAAAUAAGCAAUCGGGUAUGAAAAAAUAAAUGUAUGCUAGAACUCUCUAACAAUGAUAACAUAGAAAAGUGGUUAUAGCAAUGGAUAUAAACAGAAUAGUUAAGAGAGGGAAAUAUUAACUAAGCACUACAUACCUCCUCUUUUUCCUCCUCUUUCAAUGUUUCCUUAUUGCAUUGGAGUUCGGCAUCUACCAUUUCAUCUUCGUAAUACCUUAUAACCUCAAGCUUCGGAUGGUUGAGAUUCAAACCAGCUGUCCUCCUCAAGGCAGAAUCAGCAUCAUCCACCUCAUAAACUGUGGAACCUGUACAACGAAUCCUAACGAUGACCUGCUUAAUCGAAGAGAGGUUCUCCAAGCCGAUAUCAAAAUCACCAUAUGCAGCCUUUCUCUCCUGCACUUUGAGCGUGACCUCAAGGGUUUCAAGCUUUGGCAUAGCUCCUUGUGCAAAAAAGAGGCCCAUUUUAAAACUAUGAAAGUGAAACUCAGAUAGGGACUGGAAGUUUGCUCCAUGAGUUCUAAUGAUGAUCCUUUCUUCAGCAGAAUCAGUUGUUAAUACAGUAAGGCAAAGGAAUUGCAGGAAAGGUAAGCCUCCAAGACUUUGGAUAUCCUCCUGUCGUAGCAUGUUCAGUGUAAUGAUCAUAGUUGUCAGAUCUGAUAGCAAGGGGUUCACCCACCUUGGCAAUCGAGGCACACUUCCUGCGAACUUUUUGAGAUAGCGAGGAGCCCAUGAUAAAUCCACAAUGAACUCAGUGGACAUUCCUGUAGAAUCAAUAUGUAGUUCUUGGAUUUUAUUCAGGUUGCAUAAAGAAUCAACCAAAGAAUUCUUGUGGUUCUCAUGCCAUGUGCUAAUGACUGAAAUGUGAAGUGUUCUCAAUUCAGUUAGCCUGCCUAGUUCUCUUGCAAAGUUUGCAGAGCUGCUGACACCAACGGAUGAUAGCAAUUGUAGAGACUCCAUGUUCCCUAUACCAUCUGGCAGCAUCACUGAUGGUUCAAUAUAUAGGCACAUCAGUUGUCUCAGCCGAACAACUGUUGGUGGAAGAUAACUUAUGCUUGUUUGCUUUAAGUCCAGGGUCUGCAAAUAAUUUAGAUUCCCUAUCUCGUUUGGAAGGCUGGUAAUAUUUGUAUCCCUCAGUCCUAGAUACCUUAAAUGAAAUAAACUACCAGCAUUACUAAUCUGAUGGUUCUGCAGGUCACGGCAACCUUCUAAGUCCAAUACUCGCAAAACUUGAAAGCUUGAAAGAGCAGGCAUCAUGUUAGUAGCUCCAGGGAAGACCAUAAGUGAUCUCAAAUGGGACAAAUUCAAGGCCACCUCGGGUCUGGUGUGUUCUUCGUCACUACCAUGGAGGGAAAAUCUGCGAAUCCUCCUUGGAAGAUGUUUGUGCUGGUGAUGAUGUGAUGUAAUGGCGAAAUUUUCUUUGGUCGAUAAUGAAGUGAUGAGAUCAAGCACCAUAUCAUGCACACGGCAAGCUCCUACCAUGCCACGAGCAUCAAUAUGUUCAGGUUGAAUCAUGCUCCUGUUCAUAAGCUCAUUGAAGUAAUUGUGCCCAAGAUUAUGUAAAGUUUCAACAUCAGUGCCAUGGAUAAUGCCUUCAGCUAUCCAUCUUCGUAUCAAUUGAUCCCUCAAAAUAGUGUAAUCCUCUGGAAAAAUACUUAGAUAUAGCAAACAAGGUUUUAAAUGGGAAGGUAAAUCAUAGUAGCUGAUAGACAAUAUUUGGCGCAUGUUCUCCAUACUAGGGAACUUUUCAGUUCCAUUACCGAUGGAACUAUGCACACUGUUCCACUGGUUUAUAUUCCUUGGUUUAUUAGCCAAAAGACUAGCUAUAGUAAUGAUGGCUAGUGGCACUCCAUAACAUUUUCUCAAAAUUUUCUCUGAUAUUUCUUUCAGUUCUGGAUGGCAAUGAUCUUGGUCGCCAAAUAUUCUUUUGUAGAAUAACUUCAUUGAGUCAUUAUGAGAAAGAGGUUUUAGCUUAUAGAUUAUACCAUCAGUAAAAGAGCAGCAUGUUGCAGCAAUCCCAGCUAUUCGAGUUGUCGUGAUCACUCUACUACCACAGUUGUUAUCAACGAGUGCAUCUUUGAUCAAAUUCCAAGCCGAUUCAUCCCAGAUAUCAUCAACUACAAUCAAGUACCUGUGCUUUUGUGUAAAAGCAUGUUAGCAAUAUGAGUACACCCAAGUUUUGUUUAGAAGAAUUGCAUGUAACAUGGAAUGAAAUAACAGUCCAACGUUUCAAAAGCAACUAAUGCAGUAAUAUGAUUGGAAUAUCCUUUUUGUGAAAUCUGAAGCACUUCUGCAAAUUUAUUAUGAAGUUAAGGACGACUUCAGGUCUUAUGUGAACUUCUAUACAGUACUCCAAGUUCAAAAUUAAAAAAAAAACAAUCUGGAGUAUGACAAGACCGAGUACCAGGUCUAAAGUAAACAUAUGUUGACUAAUGCAUUACCUCUUAUCCUCAAGAACUUGUCUGAUCUUGUUGAUAAGUUCCACAACAUCCCAUGUUUCAAUGUUCGUAUAACUUUGCUCGCUAACUUGACGGAGUAUGCUGCUUAGAAUUCUCUUCAUAUCAGGCUUGAGGGACACUGGCACAAAAGCAUUGCAUUCGAAUUGUCCCUUCAACUGUUGGUACACGACAUUAGCAAGAGUUGUCUUACCCAAACCACCAACUCCGACAAUGGAAAUCACUUUCAGUUGCUUGGAUGUGCCCUCUCGAACGAGCAACUUAGAUAGUUCUUCUUUUGGGCCACAGAUUGCAAUGAGUUUUGAUGGUUCUUCAUAGAUACCAUGCAAACGGGGGUCAAUAUUUACUGCCGUAGAAGGUGGGAUGACAACACUGUCAACCUUGUACCUAUUGCGGCGCUCAGCCACCUCCUUGACAAGGGUCUUCAUAUCUCCAAUUUCUGUCGCAAUGUGAUGCUGAGUCUUGGCUGCUGUCAACAAUCGCAUGCUCCUACUAAUGAACCCUUUGAAUCCCUGUGGUGUUACUGAUGGAUGGGUGUCGAUGCACACCAUGAAUUGAUCAAUGCUGUCCUCGAUGUCGUAGGACAGCUCCCUUACCUCACUUGCCCAUAUAUUAACCUGGUUUCCAUUUACAGGAGCCUCUGACACUGCCUCGAGGGCAGCUUCCAUGCUCUCGAGCUCGGCUUUCAGGAACAUGAUCUCACCUCUUAGGCUUGUCUGCAACUUGUAUUCGUCGGUUAGCAGCUCAGCCAGCUUGAGGAUGAGGGAACUCAUCACACUUGUCACAAUCUCCAUCUUCCCUGGUGUCAACAAAAACAACCUUAGAUUACAUUUGUACCACUGAAAGUCUCAAUUAUGUUUUGCUUUUGCCACUUUUAGAGUUGCAAGAAAUUGAUGUUGCCAACCCCAUUAAACUAGGGUCACCCAUAUUUCUCAUUCUUUUGUUAUUAUACCCCUACCUCAUCUAAUAGAUGGUGUCCGUGUUGGAACUGAACUACACGCACGACGCGCUCUGCGCUCCGCUCGGCAUCACCCGUACGACCCGCGCUCGCCACGCUCUCGCGUCAAUCUAGCUGAGUUAGUUAGGCUCUAGCGUGCUUUGUAUAUAUAUAUAUAAAUCACACAACAGAUCAAUACAAUUUACGGUUGAUCAAUUCCCUUUCUACAUGGUAUCAGUUACCUUACUACGAUCCUAAAUCCUAGCUUCCGCCUUCUCCUCUGCCCAGCGCCAUGGCCUCCCCGACGCACUCCUCCUCCUCGUCCAGCUUGAGCGACACCGUCCUCGAUGCUCUGCAGCCCGCCUCCAUCGCCGUGGUGCAGACUGUGAACAUCAGUUCCCAUGUCCCCAUUCUCCUCGAUCUCCUGGAUCCCAACUAUAGCCAGUGGAGGUGCUUCUUCGACACCGUCCUUGACGACCUCGUCAAGUCUCCUAUGCCCAUCGAGCAGCGCACCGCUGAAUGGCGUCAGAUCGACUGCUGCCUCGUCAACUGGCUCUACACAACCGUCAACAAGAACGUCUUCGAUAUCAUCUACAAUCCCCGCGCGUCCGCCUUCUCCGUCUGGACGGACAUUGAAGGCCUGUUCCGCGACCACAAACUGCAGCGCGCCGUCCUGGAGGCCGAAUUCCGCAGCCUCAACCAAGGGAACCUCAGCAUCUCCGACUACGGCUCCCACCUCAAGCAGCUCUCCGACGGUCUGAGGGACGUCGGCCAACCCGUCUCUGAGCCGAAUCAGGUACUCAAUCUCCUCCGCGGCCUCAACAGGAAGUACCAUCACGUCAAGCCGGUGAUCACCUCCAAGAACCACACCUUCAUGAGCGCCCACUCCUACCUGCUCCUCGAAGAAAUCCAGCUCGCGCAUGACGACAAGGUUGAGGCCGGGCAGACAUUCACCGCUUAUCACAGCUCGUCCGCCGGACACAGCGGCGGCUCCAAACCUUUGAAUUUCAGUGUAAUAAAUCGGCGACUCAUUAAUCCUUGCCAUCACUGUCAUUUAGGCAAACAUGUUAGACUGCCAUUUUUCCCUUCAGAAACACCUAUUUACUUUCCAUUUCAAUUAGUGCAUUCGGAUGUUUGGACGUCUCCAGUUUACAGCCACUCGGGUUACAAAUACUAUGUUUUGCUUGAUGCUAACACUCAUUACAUUUGGAGUUUCCCGAUCCGCAAUAAGUCUGACGUUCAGGCCAUCAUUCGCUCGUUUUUCUCCUACGUCCACACUCAAUUCCGGCUACCCAUUCUAGCUCUACAGACUGACAACGGCAAGGAGUUUGACACGCACGCCAUGCGCCACUUCCUCGCUGCGCAAGGCACCUCCUUUCGCCUUUCUUGCCCCUAUUUUUCGUGGAAAAAUGGGAAAGCUGAUUAAUGAUUGCAUUCGCACGCUACUAAUCCACAGUGCAGCUCCAUCAUCGUUUUGGGCCGAGGCUCUGAACACGGCGACAUACGUCAUCAACUGGCGACCCUGCCAUGCCACGGGAGCUGUGAUGCCGAAUGCACCACCUCCUCCUCGGAACGCCGCUGCACUACGACGAGCUUCGCGUAUUUUGGCUGCCUCUGCUACCCAACAUCACGCCGACAAUGCCACACAAGCUCAGCCCGCGCUCUAUGGCGUGCAUCUUCCUCGGCUACCCCAGUGAUCAUCGUGGCUACCGAUGCUAUGAUAUCGAGACGCGACGGGUCUACACUUUGCGUCACGUUAGCUUCAUCGAGCAUGUCUUCCCGUUCCGCGACACGAAGGCGUCGAGCGCACAGCCCCUAGCCACCUACAACGUCGACGAUGCGGCCGUGCCCACGACGCCGCCAGCUCCGCGCCCUGGACGACAUGCCACUAUGACUGCCCCAGUACGCUCGCCUCCCCAUCACCACCGGCGAUCACCAUUAGCUCCUUGCUGGCACCUCAGGCGGUAUUUCCGUCCAUGCCAACGUCCAGUUCCGCGACGUCGCCCGUCACCACCGUCGUGCCCGCACCAGCGCCGCCACCACAACAUCACAUGUUGACACACGCUUGAGCUACCAUCGUCAUGCCGAACUUGAAGUACGCCCUCAUCGGCUCUGCGACUGCACUCUCACCCAUUCCACGAUCCGUCCGCAUGGCUCUCAAGGACGAACACUGACGCGAUGUAAUGCAACUGGAAUUUGAUGCCCUGCAAUGAAAUCAAACCUGGACCCUCUUCCCAUGGCCACCAAGCGCGCAAGUCAUCACCAGCAAAUGGGUCUUCAAGCACAAGAUGAACUCCGAUGGCACUCUCGAGCGCUUCAAAGCUCGGUGGGUCGUGCGCGGCUUCCACCAGCAGCCGGGGAUCAACUUCAGCGAAACUUUCCCCCCAGUCAUCAAACUGACGAUGAUUCGCACUAUCUUACGCUCAUCGCCUCCAAGAACUAGCCCGCGCACCAACUUGACGUCUCGAACGCGUUCCUCCAAGACAACAUCAAGGAGCGCGUUCUCUAUCACCAGCCUAUGAGGUUCGAGGAUCAACAGCGCCCCAACAACGUGUGCCUCCUCUCCCGCUCCCUCUACAAUCUCCACCAAGCGCCGCGCGCCUGGUUCACCAGGUUCGCGGAUCACGCCAUCUCUGUUGAAAAUAACCCGUUGAUCGAGUCUGAAGUCCUUGUAUAUAUUUCUGUUGGUUAAUUUUUCUGUUAGCAUGUUAGCUUGAUGUGUGUUGUGUUCAUGCGGGACAUUUUCUUCUUUUCUCGCGUCGUAGGAGCAGCUCGGCUGUGCGUGAAUCGUGGGAUAGCACGAUCAUUAGUGGCGUGCGGCCGCUACUGGUUGUUAGCUAGGUUGCUUUAUAUUUGCAAUGAAGAUAAAUAGAAAAGCUGCUCAGUUUUCGCAGCACCAAAACCAUCUCAUUUCAGUGAGUUCUUGAGUGCUCGUGUCUGACCUCGCCGGUGACAGUUUUUCAGCGAACUCCAACAUUUGGUAUCAGAGCGGUUGGCAUCCCAAGCCAUGUCUGCGCUGGUGCAAGGCAGGCAUUCACCAUCACCAUCGCGACAAUGUCGCAUCUCGCACUCGCCCGCGCCGUGCCGAGGGCGUCGCGGUGGCGAAGUUGUCAUCGAGCGCGUCGUCAAGGAAGCAAGCGGUACCGUGCAGUACCCCAUGCUCACGUGCACCAACUACCAAGAAUGGUCAUUGAUGAUGUGUGUGAACAUGUAGGCGCAGGGCCUCUGGCAGGCCGUCGAGCCAGAGGAGGGUGAGGUCGUUGAGUACCGCGAGGAUCGCCUCGCACUCACCGCCACCCUCCACGCAGUUCCACCUGAGAUGCUUGGGUCAUUGGCACAUCAGCAAGCAAAACAGCAAGACGCGACACGGUCGCGGUGGCUGCAGCAGCACCUCCUCUUCGUCAAGUAGGAAUAGGAAGCAGAAAGAGCAGCCCGGUAUCAACCCAUGCCACAACUACGAUAGAAAAGGGCACUAGGCCAAAGACUGCCGCAGCAGGCCCAAGUCCAGCUAGGCACAUAUGGCCCAAGGUGAGAAAGAUGAACCUACUCUACUGAUGGCCCACGCCAUCAUCAUCUCUGGUAGCUCCUCUCCGCCACCAUCGAGCCUCAUCAACGCCUCUCCAUUGUGCCACCACGUCGACAUCCGGGAGGAGCGCGUCUUCGCCUAGCUCAGCUCACUCGAGGAUAGAGAGCCCCAUCACUGGGUUCUUGAUACAGGCGCCACCAACCACAUGACCAGCACGAGGAGCACUUUCUCCGAGCUUGACGCCAACAUCUGUGAGACCGUCUGCUUUGGGGAUGGAUCCGUGGUGGAAAUCGAAGGGCGCGGCUCCAUCGUCUUCAGCUGCAGGAACGGCGAGCACCGCGCGUUGAUCGGGGUGUAUUUCAUACCCCGCUUGAUGAUGAGCAUCAUCAGUCUCGGUCAAUUGGACGAAGCUGGCUGCAAGAUCGACAUUGAGCAUGGCAUCCUCAGGAUCUUUGAGCAAGGCCACAAGCUGCUGGCCCGGACCAGGCAUUCUCCGGCUCACCUAUAUCUUCUGGAGCUCAAGAUCGGGCGCCCGGUGUGCCUGUCUGCCAGGACUAAGCAGGCGGUGUGGCGCUGGCAUGCUCGUUACGAGCACCUCAGCUUCCAGUCGCUCCGCCGGCUCGCGCACCAUGGCAAGGUGCGUGGCCUGCCGCACCUCGAUCAGAUUGAUCAAGUCUGUGACGCGUGCCUGGUCUACAAGCAGUGGCGAGCUCCCUUCCCCGAGCACGCGCGGCGCCGCGCCACGAACGCCAUCGAGCUCAUCCACGGUGACAUCUGCGGUCCAAUCACGCCUACCACGCCUAGUGGUAAUCAGUACUUUCUGUUGUUGGUUGAUGACAUGAGCUGCUAUAUGUGGCUUGUGCUGCUUCCCAGCAAGGACCAGGCGGUGUCGGCGAUCAAGAAUUUUCAGGCGACCGUCGAGGUGGAGAUCGGCCGCAAUCUGAAGACCCUCCGCACCGAUCGUGGGGGGAGUUUACCUCCGUCAAGUUUGGGCGUUACUGCGCCAAGCACGGCAUAUAGCAGCAGCUCACUACCCCCUACUCUCCACAACAAAAUGGGGUGGUCGAGCGCCACAUCCAGAGCAUCGUCACCAUGGCGCGUUGCAUGCUCAAGGCCAAGAGCUUGCCCAGCUACUUCUGGGGCGAGGCAGUAACCAUGGCGGUCCACAUUCUGAACUGGGCUUCGAUGCGUGCACUUGACGGCAAGACUCCCUAUGAGGCGUGGUACGGUGAGCGACCACCGGUGCACUACCUCCGCACGUUCAGCUGCAUCGACCACGUGAAGAUGACGUGGCCUCACCUGAAGAAGCUUGAUGACCGCAGCUCUUUGAUGAUCUUCAUCGGGUACAAGAACGGCUCAAAGGUGUGGCGCUUUUUUGAUCCAAGCACUGGGCGCAUCACAGUAUCAAGUGAUGUCAUCUUCGAUGAAGCAAGGCAGUGGAAGUGGAAGGAGCACGACUUCGACGCCGGACACCGGGACGACGAGCCAUUCACCGUUGAGUACAUGACAGCCACUACGGUGGGCGCGCUUAAUCCGGACCAGGGGAGUGCGACGCCACGCACCCCCUCACCAGCUCCACCGGCGUCUCCUGUUCCAGGUCUGCCUGAAUUUGUUUCACCUCCAUCUGACCACCUCGACGAACUGGAUGCAGAUCACGAUGACGACGCGCCACUUCGCUUCCGCACCCUCGACACAUCCUCGGCCUAGCGUCUCCACCCAGCUUCGCGUCCAGGGUGCUCGAUGACGAGCUCCACUUUACCUCUGACGAGGAACCCUGCUCCUCCCAUGAAGCUGAACAGGAGGCGUGUUGGAGAGGGGCCAUGAUUGAGGAGAUGAAGUCCAUCAACAACACCUGGGAUCUCAUCGACCUUCCACUUGGGCAUCGUGCAAUUGGGCUCAACUGGGUCUAUAAAGUGAAGCAUGACGAGAACAGCGACGUCGUGCGGCACAAAGUGCGUCUGGUGGCAAAAGGCUACGUGCAAUGCGCCAGGAUCGACUACGACGAAGUCUUCGCGCCCAUGGUCUGGAUGGAGUCGGUGAGGCUCCUGCUCGCACCGGCGGCGCACCAGGGAUGGGAGGUUCACCAUAUGGAUGUCAAGAGCUCUUUCCUCAAUGGCGAGCUCAAGGAGGAAGUGUAUGUCGCCCAGCCCACAGGCUUUGUGGUCGCCGGUGCUGAGCAGAAGGUUGUGCGCCUCCAGAAGGCGUUGUACGGCUUGAAGCAGGCACCUAGGGCCUGGAAUACCAAGUUCAAUGCCGCCAUGGUGUCACUUGGUUUCCAGUGGAGCAGCUCGGAGUGCGGCGUGUACACACGCACGAAGGAGUCCUCGCAUCUCAUUGUCAGCAUCUACGUCGACAACCUUGUGAUCACCGGCCACGGCAACGAUGAAAUUCUAGAGUUCAAGGCUGAGAUGAAGAGCAUCUUCAAGAUGAGCGAUCUUAGCCUGCUGUCCUACUACCUUGGGAUUGAGGUAAGCCAAGGGCCCACUAGGAUCACCCUCUGCCAGCGCGCGUACGCCGACAAGCUCCUAGAGCGCAGCGGGAUGCAGAACUGCAACUGCGCAGCAACUCCCAUGGAACCGCGCCUCAAGAUGGGAAAGGAGAGCAACACUCCUGAGGUGAACGCCACGGAGUACAGGCGCAUAAUUGGUGGGCUUCAUUACUUGGUUCAUACUAGAUCGGACCUUGCAUUUGCAGUGGGUUUUCUUAGCAGGUUUAUGGAGAAGCCGCAUGAAGAACAUCUGGCUGCUAUGAAGUGAGUGCUCCGGUAUGUUGCUGGAACGCGUGGCUAUGGGCUGCGCUAUGUGCGAAGGGAAGGCCAGGCGCUGAAGCUAAUUGGUUACAGUGAUGCUGAUCUUGCCAGCGAUAUUGAUCAGCGCAAGAGUACCAGCGGCAUCGUCUUCUUCCUCGGCAACAACCCCAUCACCUGGCAGUCGUCCAAGCAGAAGGUCGUGGCUCUUUCUUCUUGUGAAGCGGAGUACAUCACGGCCGCAAGUGCUUCAUGCCAGGGCGUCUAGCUAGCUCGGUUGCUGAGCGACUUCGUCGGCUUGGAACCUGGAGUGCCGGAACUCAAGGUGGACAACAUGGCCGCCAUUGCACUUAGUAAGAAUCCUGUUUUCCAUGAUCGCUCCAAGCACAUAGACACGCAUUAUCAUUUCAUCAGGGAGUGCAUCGGCAGAAACCGCAUCGUCAUCGGGCAUACCUCCACUGAGAAGCAGCUCGCUGACAUGCUCACCAAGGUGCUUGGGCACGUUCGCUUUCAGGAGCUUCGUGCUAAGAUUGGUGUCGACAACAUCGUAAGUGACUCGAUCAAGGCUUAGGGGGGAGAAAUGUUGAAAAUAACCCGUUGAUCGAGUCUGAAGUCCUUGUAUAUAGUUAUGUUGGUUAGUUUUUCUGUUAGCAUGUUAGCCUGACGUGUGCUGUGUUCAUGCGGGGCGUUUUCCUUUUUUCUCGCGUCAUAGGAGCAGCUUGGCUGUGCGUGAAUCGUGGGAUGGCACGAUCGUUAGUGGCAUGCAUGCUGCUGCUGGUUGUUAGCUAGUUUGCUUUAUAUUUGCAAUGAAGAUAAGCAAAAAAGCUGCUCAGUUUUUGCAGCACCAAAACCAUCUCGUUUCAGUGAGUUCUUAAGUGCUCGUGCCUGAGCUCGCCGGUGACAAUUUUUUGGUGAACUCCAACAGUCUCCCUCGGCUUCCGGCAGUCACGAUCCGACUCGUCGCUGUUUGUGUAUCACCACGGCGAAUUAAUGGCGUACCUCCUCUUAUACGUGGACAACAUGAUAAUGUCAGCCUCCUCAACCGCGCUUCUUCAACAGCUCGUCAACAACCUCAAGUCCGCCUUCGUGCUGACGGACAUGGGCCCGAUUAGCUACUUUCUUGGCGUCGACGUUCGUCGGACAUCCGACGGGUUCAUGCUCUCCCAGUCUGCAUACGUUGUGGACGUCUUGGAACGCGCUGGCACGGCCAACUGCAAGGCUACGCCCACACCGGCUGACACCAAGCCCAAGUCUUCCAGCAGCAACGGCGAGCUCAUGAAGGAUGCGUCUGGUACAGGAGCAUGGCCGGUGCACUACAAUACUUGACGCUGACACAGCCCAACGUCGCCUAUGCCGCCCAGCAAGUAUGCUUGCACAUGCAUGCGCCCAGGGAGAGCCAUGGUGCUCUCCUGAAAAGGAUUCUUCAGUACAUCAAAGGCACAACGACGCUCGGACUUCAUCUCCAUGCUGCGACGAUGCCGACUGGGAUGGCUGCCCGGACACCCAUCGCUCCACUUCAGGCUUCGCGAUCUUCCUUGGUGACUCGCUGAUCUCGUGGUCCUCGAAGCGUCAGACAACCAUGUCUCAGUCAUCUGCAAAGGUGGAAUACCGCGGUGUGGCCAAUGCGGUGGCCAAGUGCUCGUAGCUUCGGCAGCUCCUUGGCGAGCUCCAUUGCGUCGCUCCAAAGGCUACUAUGGCGUACUAUGACAACAUCUCCAGCGUGUAUAUGGCCCGCAAUCCAGUACACCAUAGGCGCACCAAGCAUAUAGAGCUGGACAUCCACUUCGUUCGUGAGAAGGUGGCCAUUGGUGAGCUCCGCGUGCUGCAAAUUCCAAGCCCUAGACAGUUCGCGGAUAUCUUCACAAAGGGACUAUCUACAGCAUUGUUUGAAGACUUCCGGUCGAGUCUCUGCGUCAGCUCCACGAGCUGAGAUUGCGGGGGGUGUUGGAACUGAACUACACGCCCGACGCACUCUCCGCUCCGCUCGGCGUCGCCUGCACGACCCGCGCUCGCCAUGCACUCGCGUCAUCCGCACGGCUCAUGCUCGCCACUCUCUCGCGUCGCCUGUAAUCUAGCUGAGUUAGUUAGGCUCUAUCGUGCUUUGUAUGUGUAUAUAAACCACACAACAGAUCAAUACAAUUUACGGUUGAUCAAUUCCCUUUCUACAGUUCGGAGCUACAAGAUAAGGAGGAAGCAUGAUACAAGAUUGAAUAAGUGGUAUUUUUGCCUGGUUUCCAACAAAAAAACAAGAAGGUGCCAAACAAUGGUCAAAACAUCAUGUGCCACUCCUCAGCAGACACAGAGAACGAAAAUGGACAAAAAGGAGGGAAAACUCAAGGUGUCACACAAAUUUUCAGUGGCAAAACCAACAAACAAUCUUUUACCAUAUGAUGACACACCCAUAUUAAUUAUGAGAAAGAAAAAAAGAUCUAUAGUUGCCAGGGAGUAUACUUACCUGGAUUUCUUCUUGAUGGGCUUGCUGUUCCUCCCAGCUUGGUCCAGCAACAAAUCAACAGCACCCUGCUGGGAGGUGAUGUUGUCUUUGUAAGCUUGAUUGGAGUAUUGCUUUGUAGAAGGAUUGGUGCUGUGUCUCCUGUCCUAUUUCAUGUGUAUGACUGCGUUUCAUUUCUUGAGGCUGAAGGAUUCGUGGGGUUGGUAUUGACCACGAAGGAUUGUGGACCAUAUCCAAAUCAUAAGUUUAUUUGAGGUUGCUCUAGAGGCCUGGAGAAUAUACGCAAUGUAUGACGCGUGCAACUGACCUGGUCAUCUUUUCCUAGAUGUAUGCGAUAUUGCAAGCGCAAAUAUUGUAAGGAAUAUGAAUAUCCAUGAAUGCAAGAAAAUUGUAAUGAGUGUGAAAUUUGAAUCAAGUGCCUAGUCAAUUUGAGCGGACUAACUAGGAUAUCCACUCAAAACUUAUUUAAUGGUAUGAGAUAAUCAUUCUUUUGACCCAGAGAGGAUGGUGUUUUUUCCAUUAAUUCUUGGAAAAAGAUUAUUUUACUACCCUCACCAGUUCUCUUUGUAUUAAUUCUUGCAACAUUUUAUAAGUCAUCUUGCAAAAUUUGAAAUUGAAACUCCACUUGUACGUGGAGAAAAGAAAAGAGAAUUCUCAUUAGGGGAUAGAUUGGACCAACUGAGAUAGUUCGAGAGCCUAAAUUUUGUGGGGGGUUAAAUGGGCAAAGUGGAUUUGUGAGGAGUAAAAUAGAGUUUUUUUUCAUAACUCUUUAAUGGUGAGAUGAUUCUUUUCACUUUUAAUAUAAGGUUUUUUACAUGCUCAUGAAAUGGUCAAUAUACCACAGCCCCAAAGCAGCGACUUCGUUAUGGUCGGCAUAAAUCAUUUAUGCGAUCAACUAUCGGUCGGUAUAGAGUUAUGCCGACCCUAAGUUGCUGAAAGUGGUGUUGGUAGUUCAUAGAAACAUGAAGUACCGACCGAUAGUUUGCGACACAACUAUACUGACAAACGGUUCAUCUGUAUUUUUCUACUUUUACCAUCAAACACCUGACGCUAAUUUGGGGCUGUGGUAUAGUUGGUACCGAGAAUUACCAAAAUUUGGUGUAUCACUUGAAAUAUCGAGAUCUCGUGAUUUGGUGCUAAGUUAUCCAUUUUCUGUACCUUCCAACUUGACAUUGUGAGACAAACUAUGAUUUCAUUUGAACCGAGAUGCAGUCAUGCAGAUAGCUUGGCAACUUGCUAUUUCAGGUGGUAAACUAUGAAAUACUUUUGAUUAGUGCGUUAGGUUUUGACUUUACAAUGGAUUGUUCGGGUUGGUCUUCAUUUCCAAUUGACUGGAAUUGUUUACCAGCCCCAAACAUGGAGAAAAUCAUGUCGUCUAAUUGGUUGAAUCAGUCAGCCAGGUAAUGUGUACAUUAUUUUUUUCGGGAUGUUUAUAUCUUGCCGUCCAAGGUUAAUGGAGCAGGUUGUUGAAAUGAUCAGGUGUUUUACCAGUCAGAUCGGACGCAAAAUUUAAAGAUGUGAUGGCACGCAUUGUGCCUGUUUCUAGAUGUUAAAAGAAUAUUUUUCUUUUGAAUCCAUGCAUGCUCUAGAUAGUUGGAUUAGUUUUACGGAAUAAUGUGGAUGCCAAAUUGGACUCAGCUCGUUUGUCUUAGUGGAUCGGAAGACGCACUUGAAUUUGUGCUUUCAUUCGAAUUGCUUCCGAAUUCAUGCUCAAGAUUUUCACAUGUACACGUGUUAAGGUAAUCCAUACUAAAGCCUAACGACGAUCUGAAUACAGGAACACUACAAGAAAUCUGUUAAUCUAUGAUGGAUUCUUCAUGACAGAUUCGGAGAACGUCAUUAACAGUGCACCAUCUACGACAAUUUGUGAUUUUUCAUCACAGAUCUGCAAAUAGCCCAUCCAAACUUAAAGUCGGUCGAUUUCUGUGACGAACCUCGUUAACCGUCAUGGAUUGAAAAUUAAAAUCGUCGCGAAUCGUACUCAAUCACAAUUUUAACAAAACAAAUAGGUCGCUUACAAAACAAAUAUUAAUACUUCACAGUAAAAUCAAUUGAGAAUAUAAAAAUAAUGAAUAAUAAAAUGAAUAUCAAUAUCUAAAUCACUUUCCCAUAUACACAAAGUUUAGAUUCGGAUAGGAUAUUUUGAAAAAAAAAGGAAUUUGGAUAUCUAGAAAAUUGUCAAUAUGGACUUUUGCUCUAUGAAGAGGUCGGCGUGCAAUUUUAUCUUCACGCGCCAAUGGGCCGUAUCUACCUCAAUUGCCGUGUGAAUGCUAUUUGGAACGGGCUGGAAAUUUCAUGCAGGGCUGCAGGCUAGCUGUAAGGUGCUCAUGGACCGAGAACUUGCACUAGCAGGCCGGCAGCAGCCCAGCUAAAAAAAUUGGAAAAAUAAAAUAGAGUAACAGGGCUUUGUACACGGGUAUCUGAGAUAAGAAUCGCGCGCCAUACCACUGCGCUGCACCUUCGUUCAUGAAGAAUUUGGUAUUAUAAUAUUACUUUACUCGUGUUUUAAUUUCGAAAAAUAGAACGAUGCGGAGAGAGUAACAAACGCGCGCCUUACCACUGCGCUGCAACUUCAUUUGUGAUGAUGUUCGGUAUUAUCAUUGAAAUGUUCUCGUGUUUUAAUUCGGAGAAAUAAAAACACUCGCAAAGGGUAUCGGAGGAUCGAACCCGGGUUUUAGAGAUACCAAUGCAUUGUGGCUCCAUUUGUGCUGAUGUUGGGUAACGAAUAUGUUUUAUAUUGUAUGGCCAUGUAAUAAAGAAUAGAUGUGUGAUUCAUCUUUUUCUUUUUAAUCCGGAAUUAAAAUUUGUAAUUGGUAUUUCUUCCUAAUAAGAACUCCAAAUUUGAUGGUUCUUUUUCUAAUUUUUUCUAAAAUCAAGAUCUUUUAUUUAGUGACGUUUUUUUUAUGUUAAUUGCUAUUUCUUAAAAAAUUCGUAUGACAUGUUUUCUUCCAACUAAUAAAUAGAUAAUAGAAAAAAUAUGUUUGUGCAUAACAAUUGGCAAUGUAACUUGAUAUUUUCCAAUGUUAUGGUCAACAUAAGGUGAUGUCCAAAUUUGAGGUGCAUACGAGUUCGAACAUGUUAUGAGGUAUUCAAAUCUCAAAGUUUGACUUGAAUUUUAAGGAACUAUGUGAGAGAUGUAUCCAUUUGUGAACAAUGUAUGAUCCCACUUUAUUAAAAUUAUUUAAUUUUUUUAUUCCAAGCUUAUGGCCCAAAAAUAUGUUGCCACGUUAAUUUGUACAAUUUUCCAACCUAAUUUUGAUAUUAUUGUAAUUAUUAUGUGCUAAUUUGGAGAUAGAACUUUGAAUUGUCCCUAAAAGAUAAUUGAAUUUUUCAUCUAUCUCCGGGAAUGAGUUAGGAUGGAACAUAUGACUUAAAAUAUAAUUUUUGUACAAUUUUUUGUAUCUUAUUAGAUGCACACGUAGUUAAAUUUGGAAUUAAUUUCGAUAAUCAUGUAGAAAUUCAUUUUACAUUUAGAAAAUAGUAAAUCAGUUUCAAAUUUUUUGAAACUUCUACAAGACAACUUACAUGCAUUUGCUCUUGCCCACGUGAUUUUUGAAUGUAUAUGCUUGUACAUGCUAUUUUAAUGUUUAUGAUAUACACAACAUUUUAUUAAUUUCUAUCACAAAUAUUGCCCUCUGACAAGUAUUUGGCAAUGUACUCUUUCAGGUCAAGGAGUAGAUGGAAGGAGCAAGCCAUUAGAAGUGAUUGGAUGAGGAUCAGCUGAAGUAACAAGCAGUUAGAAGGAAAUAGAGGAGAUCUGCUAUGCUACUGUUAGUGAUGCUAGAUGAACAAAUGUAUGUGAUCUGUUGUUCUGAUGGGAACAUAUGUAAUGCGUUUAUUUGUGGGCUGGAAUUGCUUACUGUUGGACGAAUUGGGCUGGAAAAAUGGUUCAAAAUUUGGUGGGCUGAUUUUACUUAACAUGGGCUAUGUACCUUAAAUUUGGUGGGCUCAUACCGAUGGGCUAAAAAUAUUGGACCCACUUCUCAAACGGGCCUGUUACCAAAUGGGUCGUGGCAGUGACAUUAGCAUCUGUGUCAACAGCCACGUCAUCAUCCAUGUCAGCAACCACGUUACCAUUGUUAGCCAUGUUAUCACCGAUGUCAGUUGCAAUGUCAUCACCCACGUCAGCAGCCAUAUCAUCAUCAUCCAUGUCAGCAGCCACAUCAUCAUUCAUGUCACCGUUAGGUGACGUGGCUACUAAAUCCAUGUAACGGUGACGUGGCUACUAAAUCCAUGACGAAUAUUAUCCCAUGUGGCAACUGUUCCUUACGUUUAUUUUUGUCACUGAUACUGGGCCUGGGUUGGGCUACGCGGGCUCAAGGCUAUUAUAUGACAGUUCAAAAACAUCACAGAUUGCGUUAAUCUAUGAUGUUCAAUACAUGACGUUAUCAAAAAAACGUCACAGAUGUCGUUUUAUGAUGAUUUUUCAAUGAUUCGUGAUGGAUGACGAUCACAAAACUUUUUGUAGUGGAAUAACAACUUCACACACGUGUAUCACUAGCUAGCUAUCCAGAUCUUCGGAGAUACGCCAUCACUCCAAUCCCAGUGACAAGGGCAGCCCCAGCGGCCACCCCGCUGUACGCUGCUGCCCACGCGUCUCGGCUCGACAUGCCCACCGCCAUGGCGCCACCGGAGGAGGCCACAGCUUUCCGUCGGCCGCUGGUGCCGGAGUAGUCGAGGAACAGCUUCAGGCCCUGCAAAGGUUCAGUACACACCAUCAUCAGAAAGCUGAGCUCAGCAGAGCAACGCUAGGGUUCGCGUCGUGCGUGCCUUCCAUCCGGCCAUCCUCGCGUGGUCCACCGCGGCGGCGAGGUCGUCGUCCGACGCGAGCACCACCUUGUCCCCGUCCUCGUCUUCGUACUGCACGCACAGCAAUUGCAAAAAAAAAAAAUCGCAGCUUAUGGAUCACUUGCAUCUAUAUAUAUAGCAUCGUCAAGACUAUGCUGUGUUUCUUGUCAAAAGAAUGAUCAUAUACCAGAAUCUGUGGCAAGCGCUCUGGGUCGAUGUCGGCGCCAAGCCUCCGCAGGAUGCAGGUCACUAGGGGCGUCAAGCUCUGGACCUCUGCAGGAGGAAAGUUUUGUCUGAAAUGCUACAGUGCUCAACAGCUGAAACUGAAACCGGAAGUUAUGUUACUGUAUUGAAACCGGCAAGGUCAGUAGCAUAGUUGUACCACAGCUGAACCGGUGCAUCCGGCCUCGCCUGUCCUGGAGCUUAAACGAGAACAAUGAGGGGUAUGCCGCCUCGCUGCCGCCCACAGACUCGUGGUGGGCAUCAGACAUCAUCUGGGACCUCGACAUCUCGCUGAUUCAUCACCCCCAAAAAAGUGGCACAGUGUAACUAAAUAGAAUGUGAUCAGUGGAACCUUUAGAUUCAGAACUUGCACAACCUCAUCUGUGACUGGGUUUCUGUCUCGUCGUCCAAAGGGCUUAAGGCCAUGGCGGAGUCCCAGAACCUCUGGAUCAUGGAGGCCGCCGCGUCAUCACUCCCUUCGCCGGUGUUCUCAACCUGUCUCAUCUUGCCCAAUCAAUUGGGGGCAUCUGGCACAACCCCAAUAUGCAAUUUGCAUGACAUAUGGAUGAAUAGAACUUACGAUGGAGAUCGCCGCAUGUGUUAUAUCGAUCACAUCAAGAAUGGAAAUGAUGGAGCCAUCUGCGGCGGAACGAAAAAUCUGUUGAGACUGUGGUCACAACCUGCAGGUUUUCCUGAACAUUUUUCUGCCAUGGUGUACCUCUACCCAUCACAGGGAGAUGCAAGAAUUUAUGCUCUUGCAUUGUCCGUAAGGCGUCGAGUAUAGGCAUGUCAACCGAGGCGCAUUCAGGGUCAGGAGUCAUCACCUAGAGUUCACAUCCACAUAAAAUGCUUAACCCUUUUAGCUUGUUGGUAUGUGAAAUUCAAUUGCACUUACCUUCUCAACCGGAGUCGAGUCCGAAGAGAGGUUUUUGGCGAUCAUGCGCAUCAAGAUAUCCCGUGAACUGGCAAGAAUGAUAGAAACCAAUGAAAAAAGGGUACGAAAAAGGGAAACAAACUAAGACAAGUUGCAUUGACGCAAGAAAGCUGUAAGUGCAGCAAAUUCGCUCACGUCAGGAUGCCUUGAGCCUUGCUCCCCACAGCCACUACAGCUGAGCUUGCAUGCGCUUCGACCAUCUUCUUGGUCGCUGCGAGAACCGAAUCACCUGGCGAUACCAUGACGACUCUGUGCAAGAUCCACAAGUUCAAUUCACAAAUUUCAGACUAUGUCCACAGACACACUCAUCGGCAGAAAAUAAUGUAAGCAUAAUAUAUCAUCCAUGAAAGGGAGCUUGAGCCAACGUUGAGUCUGCACUGGCGAUCGCGGACAAGCACGGUCUGAACAUUUGCUCCUUGAGCGCUUCAACGAUGGAGAACUUGUCGUCGCCAUCGGCCACGUUGGCGAUGGCCGCCUUCCCCUUCUCGGACGCCCUCUCCAUCCUGGCGAUGGCGUCGUGGAGGCACUUGGCGAUGUCGAGCAUGGCGACGACCUCGCCGUUGUCCACCACGGGGAGGUGCCUGAACUUGCCCUGGACCAUCUUCUGCAGCGCCUCGACGGCGAGCGUGUCGGAGAGGACGAAGAUCGGGUGCCUCGUCAUCACCUUCCACACCGGCGUCUCGUCGAUCUUGAGCUCCCGCGCGAUCACCCUCGUCGCGAUGUCCUUGUCCGUGAGGAUGCCGCAGAGCAGCGCGUUGGAGUCUGUGAGGAGCGCGGCGUCGGCCCGGCGCGCGGCCAUCCGCCGGCACACCUCCAGCACGGUGGUGCUCUCCGGCACCGUCAGCGCCCGGGACAGCCGCAGACGCUUCACCGUGCGCUCGCCGCCGAUGGUCAUGGAUCGGGAGAGCCCGGGCUUGGGGCUGUCGCUGGCGGCGGCCGCGCGGCGGCCCAUGGCGCCGCCGCUCCCCAUGGACAGCGUCCGCCGGGGCGGUGAGAGGCCACCGACCAUUGCUGCGGACGUAGCGGCCACGAAGAUUCGGGGGACGGGACACGACGGCCCCUGCGCUCUGCGUGCCUAAUUGAGGGAGGUGGCCCUGGCUACCGCGCUUUUUCCUCCAGGUGGAUCUUGCCCAAUUAUAACCUGCGGUGAGAGUAAUCGCUAGUCAACUCACGACGACCAGAUUUUAGGAAUUUAUAAGCAAUUUUUAAGUCGGUUUGAUACGUGCAUGAAAACGUUUUUUCCUGGAUAAGGUUAUAAACGAUGAUUAGUAUACAGCAUUGUCGUUUAAUUUGUGAUUGGUCUCGACUUUAAUACUAGGAAAUAGUUACAGGAAAAUAGGAACGUGAGUUAGGGUCAUUCUCAUUGAAAGAUCUCGUGUCUUUUAAGAAUGACAUAUCCUAUCACGCGAUUAUUGAGUUCAUGAAUUAUACUAAAAGUUGAUGAAUCAACACAGACGGAAAACUAAUAUUUUCAUGUACUCAGUAAAUGGCUUAGAGCAACUCCAAGAGUUUCUCAAAAAGUUCUUUCCCACUAUAUAUUGGGGGUUCUUCCAAAAUAAUUUUCCCUCAAAAACAUAUCAACCCACAGCAGAUCGCUAAUAACUUGCUCCCAAUAUUUCAAAACAGGUCACAUCAUCGUAAUUGGGCCCAGCCCGCCGCCUCCCUACUCUCUCCCCGCCUCAUUCUUUCUUCUUCUCGUCCACAGCGUCGAACAGCAGCUGCACCGCUACAACAUCCCCACAGCUCGUGUACAUAUGUAUCAAGCUGCUCAACAUGAACCGAUCGAUCAUGAGCCCAUGUUUGACGGCGUAAGCCUAGACGCCACGCCCUGCAUCCAAAGAGCACAUCCUGGAGCAUGACUUGAGGGCGUAGGCGACAGUGUGCUGGUCCGGCCAGAUGGAAGCCUCGUCGAGCAUUUCGACGAACAGGUGCAGCGCGUCCUCCAGGUGGCCCGUGCGGAGGAACGCGCGCAUGAGGAUGUUGUAGCACGGUGCCGAUAGGGGUGGCCGGGGCCAGGCGGAAUAGGCGGACCACGUAGGCGAGUCGUGCCAGUGAGGCGCCAUCGGCGGAGGCCUCGAGGAUGGAGUGGAAGGAUUUGGGCGAGGCAGUGAGCUCCCCAGACUUGAUUAGAGCCACGUGGAGCUGCAGCACGUGGCCAAGAUCUGCGCGGCCAGGUGGAGGACGGGGCGGCAACGGCGCGGUCGUGGCAGGGAGAGCUGCCGCCGGGUGGAUGGCGAUGGCCAUUCAGAGCUCGCUUGGGUCUAAGGUAGGCGGUCGGCAGUGGACUACAGUCCGUGCGGCGUGGUGAAAGGUAGGCAAGGAGCAGGGUGACCCGGGACACGCCGGAGGCGGCGGCCUCAAGCUCGAGCAGCGCGUCCUCGGUGGCAUAGAAGAUGAAGACGUAGCCGCGGGAGUCCCCCACGGUGAAGUCCUUCAGCCUCGCGAGCUGCACCGCGUGCCGCUCCAGUAGCGCGGCCUCAGGCUCGACCGACGCCCCCGCCACCGGAACGACCACCACUUUCUCCGACAUGGUGGUGAGCAGGAGGAGCAGGAGGAGGGUGGCGACGCGGUGGGGCAUGGCUGUUAGUGGAGUAGGCGAUUAGGGAAGGAACAGACCCCCGUAUGUAUGCGGGGCGACGAAGGUGUUUUUAGCGUCCGCGCAUUUUUACGGGAAGGAUUGGGGAGCUGUUGGAGGUAAGUUUUGUUUGUUUUUCCCCUAAAUAAGGUUUUGGGGCAAUUUUAAGCGAGCUUUUGGAGUUGCUCUUACCGGUGGCAGAUCUGGUGCGGCCGGCCAUCCUCGGUUGUGGCUCGAUAGGAAGGUGCAUAUAGGAUGCUUCCAUGUUGUAACGACCCACAGUCCGCGAAGGUCGUUGUCGCAUGAGGCUUCCACGCCUACCUCCCAAAAUCGCACGCCGGAAUACAAUGACGGUAGCCCAAUAUGGCCACACCAUGCUAACGGGACCGGCAUGUCACCCACAACUGCAGCUAGCACAUGCGGGGUAUAGGCAUGCACCAAGGUAGCUGUUGGUAUAUUUAACGAUCACGAAUAAAUCUGCAAGCGCACAGAUAUACCGUUGUAGUAUUCCACCCAAGAGUAUUCCCAAGGGUAUCGUGUUUCCCAAAGAAAGGCGGGUAGGUCAAAAGAGUUUACUAUGCAUAUGAUUAUAUCAUAAGAUUGAUAGAGACAAUACUCAAGGUAGGGGUAAGAUCAUAAUACAAGGGUAGUGUGACCCACACAAGAAUCAUCUCAAGAUAACUAAGCUAGGGAGAAGGACUAAGAGUUAGCUCUAGAUUCAUAUCACUACAAGAAAUCUUCCGACCAGUAACAAACCAAAACGUGUCACAAACAUGUUUUUCUAUCAUAAACUAUGAUUUAUGAUAUGGGAGUGAUGAAAACCCUUUGUCAUUAGUCGAGCGUCAUAAAUCCCGAUUAGUGAUAUUUCUUAUUUCGGUGCGUCACUAAGAUAAUGACGAAUGAAAAUUCAUCCCACAUGUUGUCAUAAAACUGUUUCAGAGGUUGCGCCAUGUUGGAUAAGAAUCAAACGUGGCUCCAACGUGGCAGGUGUGUCAUGACAAUUUCGGUUCAUCACAAAUUGAAGCCUGAUCCAUGUAAGAGCCUUUAUGAGUCCAAUUUUGUUGGGCUAUUUUUAGCCCAUUUUAGGUUUCCGCUCUAUUUUUUCGGUCGAAAAAUGUUUGUUGCACGCCAUAUUGGGCCGGUUUUUCUAGGCCCUAGCCCAUCUAACGAAGAGCUAUUAUUAUAUUUCGUAGUACCAUAUUGGGCCAUUUUUUUUCUGGGCCCUAGCCCAUUGUUGCAUUUCGCAGUGCCAUAUAUUCAAUUUUGGUUGCUGAUCACCAUCACAAUCACAGAUAUAAAAACAACUCAUUUUCAACUUCCAUAUUGUUCACAACACAAUCAAUGAAUAGUUCAUCAACAACAAUAAUGCAACAUAGAACAAAUUCAUCAUCAACAAUGCAACAUACAACAAAAGUUCAUCAGCAACAAACAACAAGUUCACCAGCAACACACUUCAGUUGAGGGAAGGAUUCACCUGGCUCUGACCGGUGCUGAAGUGAAUCAGGCUAGAAAUUAGAGUAUGCAACUGCUUUAUGGUGUUCUUCAAAGCUACGAGCUCUUCUGUCUGAGACUUCAAUGUUGUUUCUUGCGUUUCAGCCCUCAAUCUCAUUGCACCCAUCUGAGACUCCUGUUCAGCAGAUUUUUGCCGAAGUUGUGCCCUCCCCCCUUGUUUCUCACUCUUAAGAUCAGCCUGGAUUUCUUCUACCUGCAGCACAGUACCAACCCUAGUCUUUUUCUUCGAGGGUGGGUGAAUGCCAGCAACCUCCCGAAAUGUCCUAGAUUGGACAACUUCAGCCACUGCUUCAUCAGUAGUCUUUGGUUGGUCGUCUCCAAGUUGAGCGACUAUUUGUUCCAUCCAAACCCAAUAAAAGAAAUAAAAUGAAAGGUCUCACAAAAGUACUUACAAUAUUUUUAGUGUUGUUGUAGCAAAGAAGAAUGCAAAGUAAACAAGUACUUACAAUGGCUGCCUGUUCUGGAGCAAUGUAGCCAUUUUUGCUGCAAUGAAAGUUCUUGAAAAGAUCUAUUGGAGUUGGGUGUCCUUCAGCAUGCUUCUCCCUCUAAUAUGAUGUGAAAACAGAUAUAAACUGUUAGCUUGGAACAAGUAGCAUGAGUAGAUUCAUCAAAUAAAGUACACAGCAAAAACAUGACUUGUUCAGUUGCUUACCACAACAUGAACCUAUGCAACGUAGCUUCUAGAUCUUGUGCGCUAAGGAUACCUGAUCGCCCCACGAUUACCAAUGUUUGUAGUACACCUCUCCUUUACAAUAAUGAACACUCGUGUAAAAUACAUGAAUAAGAGGAACAUAUCAAUACAUGCAAAUGUGCUAGUGGCAAGUUGAAGUUCUAUCAUACCUUGUGAGGUGGGCUAGACCACUUCGUAACCAGAUCGAUCCACUGGUCAUCAUUCAGUGUGGUCAUAUGAGAUUUGGUUGGGACUUCAUUUGCUGGAAGAUCAUUGAAGAACUUAUUCAUGAGCCGGUACCUCCCCUAUCUCUAUUGCGACUUGAGCAUGUCGGUGCAUGCCUCUAUGACAGGUUGACUGGUGGUGUCAAUGUCAAAUUGUCCCUAUAUUAAGUACAAUACAAGAGUAGUCAAAAAAUGGAUAAAAAGAAAGGAUGCAAAGAACAAUGGUAGUAGAUGAGUCGAUAUAUACACAAUGCCAGUUUGCCAAUAUAGUUCUUGAAUUGUUUUUCAUUAUCGGCCUUGCAGUCCUUCCAGCGAGUAAGCAUCGGUAUAUACCCACGCAUUAUGAUCCCACCCUCUGAUGCAAACUUUGCAGCUUGCAUUGGUACCUCUAGUUGUUUGAGCCCUUCUCGAUAUGGAUCGGAAGCUUGGUGUGUAACCCUCUGCUUAUGCUGUCCAGAUCUCUGCCCAACCUUCUUGAAUCCCGUGGCACUUGUGCUCUUCUGGAAGGGCGUGCAUCACCUAACAAUUUUGUUACAGUCAUACAGGUGGUAUGUGUUAAUAAUAAUGAUUUGGUUGCUAAUGAAGAUGUUCCAAUUUUUUGGCUUUGGGAAAAAGAGAUCAAAUGACUUGCCUUCGCUAGUCGUCAUGUCGAUGAUGUCCUCAGUGUGGAUGGUUGUUGCUUGGCGUUCGGUUGGAAAUUUUUGUGGAUCAGAAGUCAUCCCAUCCGAAACUCCUGCCUAUAUAUAUUGAGUUUUACAUUGGGAAAUCAAAGAAACCUCUCGUGUAUUCAGUGUACUUACUACGAUUUAAAAUCCUUGUACCAUCCCGGCAACAUUGAAAAUCCUUGUACCAUGCCUUCCAUUGGAUGUGUUUACAGCUUAAUCAUGUGCACCUUGGACAUGAAACAACCCUCUCUUUGGUUGCAUGUGCUUACUUACAUGUCAACAUUGGAAACCAAAGAGAUCUCCCUUCGAUUGGGUGUGCUUACUACUUAUCAUUCAUGUGCACAUUGGCAAUCAAACAUCAUUUUUCCCGAUUGGAUUUGCUAACUACUCAAUCAUGCGCACAUUGGAGAUCAAACAUCCCUCCCUUUGGUUGCAUGUGCUUACUUACACACAUGUCAACAUUGGAAAAAGCAAUCGCUCUUCGAUUGGGUGAGCUUACUACUUAUUCAUGUGCACAUUGGCAAUCAAACAUCAUUUUCCCCCAUUGGAUUUGCUAACUACUCAAUCAUGCGCACAUUGGAGAUCAAACAUCCCUUCCUCCAAUUAAAUGCCUCCCUUGGAUUAAGUAGCUCUGGACAUAGUUUUGGGUUACAUUGAAGAUUACAAACAAAAACACUAUAAAGUUAGAUUUGGGUUCCUUGUAUCGAUAGCAUCACUCAUUACAUGAUAACGAGGUCCGAGAAGUCUCCUUUUUGGGUGGAGAAAGACUAGACCCUGCCACGCAUGUAUUCCCGCAUGUAUCCAUAAUUUUAAUCCACUUCGUCGACUCAAACACUUGGAAAUCCAAGUCUUUAAUGCACCUAGAGCAGUUAGAUGAUCUAGCUUCGUUCGCAACUUGAAGACCACAUGCCAGUAUAUCCGCUUGGUCAUUCUACACCCCAUUGGUACCAGACCAGUUAUAAGAUUCGUCCGACUCCAGUACAAACUCCACCAGAUCACCAAUAGUUAACCUGAGCACAAAGCCCAAGCAAAUAUUAUUACAAGGCUCAAUGAAAUAGUUGGUUCGUUCAUGAUAAUGAAACAUUUAUUGUUCAAAUCAAAUACAACAAUCAUUAGUAAUGAAAAAUUGUUCAACAUUCUACCUCUUUGUCAUCGGGGUUCGAAGAAGGUGUUGAUGUAGCAGGAUUGGUUGACAGAAGACAGUCAUCAGGAACUAGAGAUACAUGAUUAUUUGGAGGAGGAGUUCCAGUAGUAGAAGGUGCAGCAGAGCCUUCCAAUGUAGUUGGAGCAAGAGCCGGUGCAGCAGAGCCUUCCAACGUAGUUGGAGCAGAAGCAGGUGCAGUAGUGGAUGUAGUUCGACCAGGAGUAGAUGCAGAAGAGCCUUCCAAUGUAGCGAGACCAUGAGCAGGUGUAGGAGAUCCUUCCGACGUAGCGAGACCAGAAGUAGGAGCCACCGUAGGAUCUUCCUGAGCUUGCAAAGUAGUGAGACCAGGAUCAUCCUUAGCUUGCGAAGUAGUGAGAUCAGGAUCAUCUAGAGUAGUAGCAAUAGACACUUCACGAUCAUCCGGAUCUGUAGCUGUUUCCACCACAGGAUCUUCCUUUUGCUAUUGCGAGGCAGCAAUAUUAGAUAGAACCAUGAGUAUUGAUGCAUUUGCUUCCUCACCGUUGCCACCCUUCUUUGCGGGAACAAGUGUGGAAUCCUUUUCUGUCAGGGGCGUUGUUGAUGUCAACAGUUGUAGAAUUUCUGCUGAACUAUGAUGUGGCAAAGAGACCUUAGAGGUUUUACCCAGUUUAGUUGAAGGCAUGAUUAGCAGGGGGGGUCUGACCAGCAUGUGGGAGUUGAAUUUGCGGUGGUGGUAACCUGACAUGCUGGUGCAACUGAUUAAGGACAGUAGAGACGGUGGUGAGCACAGUAUUCAUGUUCUGGUCUGCCCUCUAUGCCACCUGCUCUAGCCACGCGAAUUGUCUCUCUUUCUGACAUGCCAGUCUCUCGUCCAACUGUUUCUGUAGCUCGACCAUACAGAGAUUAUUUUUGGCUUGUUUUGCCUCACCAUCAACUAGUCUCUGAAGAAUUAAGGAAAGCUCGGUCGGCUGACUGGCUGUUGCUAGAGUGACCAGUACUGUUUCUAUAGCAGAUCGCGAUGCACCUACCUCCUGGUCAUGAGUGACUUGGAGACAAGGUACAUACAUAUUUUCCUCCUCACUGCCUUCACUGUCUGAGCAAUAGUUCUCAUUUCUAUCCUCAUCAGCAGAUGGCUCAUUCCUAGCCCUUAGGCCAUGACGACUGUCUCCUGGUCUUGCUGGCUUGUAUACCUUGAAUUCUAUUUUGGCAUUGAUGUACUCAUGCCGCCAAUUUUUGGGUCUGUUUUGCACCUCUCUACCGUUCUCAUCUUUUUGAGUAAUAUGACUCAGGACAAUGGAGAUUCGGUGAGCAUACGGCAUUUGUCGGGCCACGGUCAACCCAUCAUGGAUAACAUCUUGAAUCUCAUAAAGAAUAAAGUCCACAAUGUCGAACUCCCAGCCAGUCAUGACGUGAAGAAGAAGACACUGUUGUAGACUAGUGAUGGACACUGCAUUGCCGAUCCAUGGUAACAAUGUCUUCCUUAAUGCCCGGAGAAUAACAUUGGCAUUAGGGGUAAGCAUGCCACGCGUGCGAUAUGCUCGGCAUGAAGGGAACGGCUCCACAAAAAGUUUAGCCAUAUCCUCGUCCGAAGGGAAUGAUCCACCAAGCAAACUACGGUGAGGUGGUUCAUCAUCCCCGUAGACAAUGUAGUGUAGGGACGUGUCACACGUAUUGACUCAAGGACUAUCAGCAAUUUGGUGUCGCCAAAUUCUAUGUGGCGCUCCCUGAAACAUGACCUAAAUGUACUCUCUGCUCUCAGGAAUGUACACCGUAGCAUAGAAAAUUCAGACCCAAUCCUCAAUAUGCUGAUGAUGCCCUGAAACCAAAUCAGCCAAUCUGGGUAGUUGAUCAAAGUAUCCCUUAAUAUUCUCUCCUCCCGCGACCAUGUUCAUAUGAUUCCAAUUUAUAAUCUUAUGCUCAAAUAGUUUGGUGGACAGCUUUUUGUAGUUAUAGUAGAAAGUUUGUUGAAUGACAUUUCUAAAUUUUGGUUCAACCCGUCUGUCAUGGAAUUUUUCAAACCACAUAUCCUCAUACACAAAUCUAAGCCUUUUAAUCAUUUGGUAGCUAUGCAUGCUCAGGUCAAUCAUCCUUAGCGGCUCUUCUGGUGGAAGGUAAAUAGGUACCUCGUUCUGCUCCCUAGGGUCGGGCACAGGAAACUCAGCAGGGCGGGGCAACCGACACCGCGCAAAUUGCUGUCGCUCAGAAGGUGUCAAGGUUCGCCCACCCCAUGUGCGGCAGGAAGGCGCCGAGGUUGACCUACCUUGUGUAUGGCAGGAUUGCACCGAGGUUGACCCACCCGUGUAUGGUGGGAACGGGCAGGGAAGACUCCCGUGUAAUAGACCUACCCCUUUGUCGUGUCUGAGCACCAGACGUGCCUGCAGAAUUUGCCUGCAACUUCCUUUGUUGCUUCACCGAAGGUGGGUCAAGCGCCUUUCCAUAUCUCUUGCCACCAUCUCGGCCCAUUUGCAAGAUCUUUCUUGAAUCAGCAUCCGCAAUGAUCUCAAAAAAUUUAACGAAUCCCCCUUUCAACGAUGAAUACCUAUAAAAUCGAGGUGAGCGACGGUGGAUAGCGGUUGCGGCGGUAGGUGGCUACAGUAGGUGGCGGCGGCAGCGGCGACUAAACCCUACCCUGGGCGAGCGCCGCAAGUGACCUUGCAGUAAAUGGGGAAUGGGGAACGGCCAGUCAGCAGGAGUGACACAGUGUAUCCAACAUCUAUCCAUCUGGGAAAUUUUGGCGAAUUCAACUCAAAAUUACUGACCAGAUUGAAAGACCUUAAUGCGAAAUGAAAUUUUGGCGAAUUCAACUCAAAAUUACUGACUAGAUUGACGUACCGUAGCAGGAAGCACCAAAUUUGUGCUGUCGUAGGACUGAGCUGCCGCGGGGAGGCGCAGAUCUCCGCCUGUCCGUCCGGGCCGCCUUCUCUCUGUUCUUCUUUUUUCCCUAUCGCGGGAGCGCAGCAGCGGGUAAACUAUUUUUUAGCUGCAGCGCGGGCUUUUCUGCCGCCAAAUACUACACUCACCUGAAACUUACCCGGUCGCGGUAAAGACUUUCCAUUCGAUCGGUAACAGGUUCGAACAACAGGAGGAGCACGUUUUCCAUUUUAUUUUACCGCCCUAUUUAUCAGCUAAAACUUACAUGUGAAACCCUAUUUGGUUUAUGACAUUUUCGCGGAGCUUAUAUCGUCACAAAACCACCAUGUAACAGCGAGUGAUGAUUUAUUUUUGGCUACAGUGGUAACUUUUAUGAUGUUCUGUAACUUUGUCACUAAAUUUACUCGGAUGUGACACUUUAUGAUGGUUUUAGCCAGAAACGUCGUAGAUCUAUAACGAGUAUAGAUCAAAUGUGUCAUAAAAUUUUCAUCAUAGAUCAACAUAUUUCUUGUAGUGCAUUUUGAGGGUUGUUGCUUGCAUCCCCGAACAUUUUUUUUUUGCUUUUUUUGUGUGGUCGUGUAUCAUGGAUGUACAUGUUCAAACUUCUCCUCUUCUUAAUAAAAAAAUAUGCUAUGCACAUCAUAAAAAAACAUUGAGAAAUAAAUUAAUCUAAAACCAAAAUCAUAAACAUGAACAGACAUGUAAAACAAAGAUCGAGCGGAGAAAUGAGAUUACCGACGCAUCAACUUAUAAAACUUGAUCUUUUUUAUACAGAAGAUAUAUUUAAAAGAUGCUUACACAAACCAUAUGAAAGAUCUACUGAAAACCAAAACUCUAGUCCCUAAAUAGGUCUCCUCAUUUUUCUCUGUCCUAGAAAAACCCAAAUCGGCGGCCUCUUGUCCUCCACAAAAAGCCAUUACGAGUGGGUCGGUCUCCUUCCUUUAUAUUGCUCGCGUCGAACACACCUUAACUUGGCCCUUUGCUUCUUUUUCUUACUAGAAAACCAGGCGCGACGGUGCCGCGCCCUACGCGGAGCAGACCAGCCUAUGUGUAGAGCUCACGGCCUGUUUUGUUGUUUGGCUAGUUUAUAUCGUGCUUCUUGCAAAAGUAUUAUUUAGAGUUGGCUUAGUGGUUUAGCAAUAAGCAGAUCGUCUUUUGGAUAUAUAUUUUUUCUGGAAAAGACGAUGUUAAAGCUAACAUAAUUCGUUUCAUGGAUGGAAAAAUCCACGGAAUGAUGGAAAGCCAGUGUCCGACACCAGCUCAUAAAAAACAAAUUGGUUUAAACCGUUCUUGUACUUGGCUAAGGAAAAGUUGGACCUUGUCACCGGAUUUUUGUUGAGGAAGCUUCAUAUCUAAAUACUACAUUUUGUCUCAUUAUUGUUACUGUAGGUCAAACCUGUAUAAAUGUAGGUCAAAGCAUACAUCAUGGAACUGGAAGAAGCAGGACUAUACACGGCAACAAUCAGAAUAAACUAACAAAGGGUCUCACAUUCGUUGCUAUUUCAGAUAUGACAGAAUUGCAUUGAGGAAUAAACACAAAAGCGAAACACAAUUACUAAAAUGUUUAGAAACAUUGCUCUCUCAUAGUUAUCUGCUGCUUAUAGUAACCAAAGCACCCAAACUUGUGAAGUUCUCCUUGAUGGGCUACGAACAUAGUACCAAAAGAUAUUCUUCGACUCCCAAAGUUACUUCAUGAAAAUUAUACAAAGUCACGACUUAUAAUUGUCAUGGAAUGAAGAUAAUAAUAGCUGAAGCAAGAGGGGGGUAAAAACGUCUGCAGAUUUGAAUAUGUUUUUUAUUUUAUUACCCAAGAUGAAAUAUGUAUUGAAGUCAAUACUUUCCUACAUGAAUAGUAGUAUAACUACUGCCUUGAACUGGAGUAAAACGUUAUGAGCCCCAAGAAGCUUUCGCUGAGUAUAUAUUAAAUCCAAUUCACAUUGUAGCUUCCCGGCAAAGCUGGCAGCUUUGAUGUUCAAAAAUUUCAAAUUCACAUAUACAAAAUAAAGAGUGCAGUUGCUAACCUACCAUGAGAACAUACCUUUAUGGCGUCAGAAAUGUCUUGGAUGCUGCAAUCAUAUCAUAUAUAAUCCUACUGAUUUAUGUUACUUUAUGUCAUAAAGAAUUUCAUUCUCAUAGCAACAGCCAGCGCCUUUGUGCAUCCAAAAGAAUUUUAGAGCAGUUGGGCUUACAAACAACCAUAUAUGUAUGAGGAAACCAUGAAGCAUCAGGACAACAUGAAAAUUACAUAUGUAAUUCCAGACAGAAAAGUUGCGGCAAGGUGGAUCAUCUUAAAUUCUUAAUAUUUUAAGAAAACUUGCAUGUUGCAUCAUGCUCCCUUGAAUCAGAGUCAUACAAUGAUACAAGUGCUACUCGUCUCAGGACUGAAGCUCGAGUUCUUUCUUAGUAAGUUGCUUUCAGUUGAGAGUCGAGAGAUAAGUUUUCAGACCAAGAAAUGAUGUAUCCUACUUAACUAUUCUUUCUUUUUUUUCUCGCAUCUACUUACUGUAUUUGAUCGUUAUGAUAUUUAUCUCGGAUUCUUAGAAACUUUGGGCCUCUUGAUUGGUACUCUGUUCUGUUCUUACGUUUUUGAUGAGAUGCGUUGUUUGAAUACUGUUUUCAGGUUGGUCAUACCUGCGCUGCGCAUCUCCGGCUGUAGGAGUGCUGGCCGCCGUGAGAGCUCCACUCCCACAUUGGUGUUGGGGAGCCGCGCAGCGCUUGGCCGGCCGCUCUCCGCCUCCCUGGUCCCUGCACCCGCGACACUGCGACAGGGCCACAUCUCUCCCCACCCCGCGGCGCCAGGACCGCCACGAGCAGGGCGUCCCAGAGAAGCGCCCUGAGGCCCGAGGCAACCGCGUGGCUCGUUGCCGUUGCAGGGGAAGCUCUCCGCGGGUGGGCAAGAGAUGCACCGAACCUCCGUCGGUGAAAUCGAGGGCGACGAGGCAGGUAGGCAACACAGCACAUAGAGGGCGGAGGGCGUCUUGCGGCGUGGCGAGCGGUGGGAGGCACGGGCUGUGCAGCAGGUAGAGGAAGGCGCGGGCGGCUGGGCAGACGGAGGGCAGCGGGCGGCGCGGCAAGCAGACGACGACGUGCUAGGUGAAGUCGUGAAGGGAUGCGGGGGUGGCGUUUUCCUCGUGCUCCGGUCGAAGACUCUAGAUUCUAGAAUCUAGAGACGCCGCCCUUGUGCCUGCGCUUGAACGGCCCGAUCAAGAUCCGAUGGUUGGGAAUUGCAGGCGACGUGGCCCAAUACCCAGCCAGAGCUUGUCCGCACGGGCUUCAUUGGUUUGAUGCCAAAAUUUUGGCAUACCAGAGUUUUGACAAGCCAAAAGUUAGGUAAAAAACUUGCCAAAACUUUGAUAGGAUAAAUGAGAGAUACUGGCAAAAUUUGGUACCUAACGAAAUACCAAAUAGUGGCCAAAAAUUUGGCAAACCAAGCAAGCCCUUCGUCACUUAGAGAUUUCUCCGAGCCAACCCAACAACACCUGGGCUUCUUCCUUGACCUAAACGCUGCACAGGCCAUCACGCGCGGCCCACUGAUUGGAUCAGCCCAGUCCAGUUCAUUCCAUUCUUAUGCGUCAUCACUCGUCGGCCUGUCAGGCUUUUCCAAAAGCGGGGAGUGACUAGACAAAUUUGGUUUUUUUUAUUAGUCGAAUCUUGAACAAAUAGAAAACUGCCACAUACUAGUAAGGUUAGGACAUGAAAAUUUUGUGACAAUACGAAAGAAAAGAAAUCGAAUGUUUGCUUUUAGGCCAUUUUUUCGUAAAGUGAAUUUCGUUUCAUCGGUCAAGUAAGUGAUGGUCUUGUUGGCAUUUGCCGUCGGAAUCGCUGACAGCGAGAGCGAGCCGGCCUACGGCUCGUUCACGGGAAAAAAAUCGAUUGAUGGUAGGAAAAAAGAACACUGACUAUUCAUUUGUAUUGAUGAGAUUAGUAUUCGUAUAUGAAUUUAGAUUAAAAUGUAAUAAAUAGUACUAUUUAAAUUUGACUAUAUGCAUAUUCGAUCCGAAUCCAUCCCCACUAAUAAAAGAAGUAUAUAGAACAUUAAAGUUCCGUUUGGAAGGGUUUCUCUCAAACGGCUUCAAUGGUGAAGCCAAAGCUGGUGAAGCUAAAAAAGUAGUUUCACUUGGCUUCUAGUUCAUUUUAACACCGGCUUCAUGCGAUAUCAUCUUGUUUUGUGCAAAACAGGUGGAGUCAAAGCUAAAAUAAACCCUUCUUUGCUGAAGAUAAAUAAUAAUUCCGGCUAAACUGGAUCGUCUCACUUUUUUGUUCGGUAGUAGUACUUUGUACCACCAUAAUGGCCCAAUGUCCGAGCGUGGUAGUGGCCCAGCCCAGACACGCACCGGCCCAACAACGGCCCAUCUCAUCUCAUUCAUGUGUCGUCAGCCUGUCAUGGCUUUCCAAAACAACCGCGCUCUUUUUACAGCUCACUUUGCCUCCUACUCUCUCCAAUCCAUCGAGCUAGGUGAGCGUGCACACUGCAACAAAACAAAACAACAGAGCACGUCCAAUGAUAGCCACCUCCGAGCCUUUUCUGCUCUCAUCAGGUGCUCCUCCAAAGCGAACCCGGCGGUCAUGAUCUUUUUCGACCAGGCCGGCUUCCACGGCACACAGGGACAACACGACACGAUCACCCAAAAGGUUGGGCCAGCCCAUCUGGAAGAAGGCAGAGCAAAGGGAAACGUAAAGAAAAUUGACGCAGAGAGAAGGACAGGAGAUGAUGGGGAGCCCGAUGCUCGAGUUUCACCCCACCCCGAUGCCCGAGCAAAGCAAAGCCCCUUCUUCCAAGAAAAAGAAAUAGUAGUAUUUUUUGUAAAAAAAAAACACAUGCCAGUGACAAUCGAUUACGAUUUCGAAACGUUGGAUGGGAAGAACCAUGUGUGCGUACGUGUCAAGGCCGACGUGAGCAAGUACGCGCUCGAAACUUGAGAUGGACUCGAGGAUCCGAUCCAAGUCCAAGCUCGGCAUGUGGACUUGUAAAUUUCAAGCAAAGCGAGCUGGGACUUUAGGAAGGUAUGGUAGCUGGUGAGAGGUAUUAGGGUGAGAUUCAAACCUCAAAGAAUGCAGGCUCCGAGCUUCGGAUUUAAAACAGGGCCUUGAUUCCCGCUCCCGGCAGGGCGCACACAUGGAGGAUCGUCGUCACGUCUCUGGAACUACUCUGCAGCAUGCUCACACGUCGGUUUGAGUAAUUGUUAAUCAAUUUGGAGAUCUUGAUGUACUAUGGAUCUUAAUUCACAUUGUUAACUAGCAAGUCGUAGCAACAGUCAACUUGGAGAAUAUUGUCACUGCACCACCAUUAGGCCUAACAACGUGAUCCAUCAGAGUGUUCCAACUGUCAGGACAUGUACUGAUAUACAUGGCCGGGUCACUGGUAAGUGGGCUGCAAAGAGGGAGGAGACGAUGGACAUAUCAUUCCAAUAUUUUAAAUUUUAAUCGAGGCCUGUCACCGACAUAUGGGACCCACCACAAAAGUUCCUAGGCAACCAUUGCAACUUUAUUAUUUACAUGAAUCUGAGACGACAUUUGGUAGUUGUAACAUGUUAGAUGGACUUCAACAUUGUCAAACGAGACAGACACUAGACAAUAACAUCAAUGAACUGUGUGGGCACUUUUUUUUUGCUACAGUGAACUGAACUAUUACAUCACUGCCCAUGACUACCAACAAUCCCUUCACUGGUUAGCAUUAACUGCACAUACCACCUCUCACUCAUUAUUUUUCCCGUUUUAUUUUUACGAGUGAGCAUACAUCACCGUGGUAGUGACAAUUUGACUGUAAAUUCAAAAAAAAAAAGGAAAAAAACACUACCUUUAUAUGAGGGUAUGCUUUUAGGUUUCAACAUCUCAAUAGCGAACUUGUAAGCUGUAUUGCAUUUUUUUGAACGAAUCGGUACAAGAUUGUGCCAAUUUUAUUGAUAAAGGACAGAUGAUUAGAACUGAAUUAUUCUCACAAGAUUAAGGUCGCCAUGUCUUUUGCCCCUUCCAGAGUCCAUGAACGCAUUACAUAUGCCACAGCCUGGCCAUCCAAUUCAACGCUACAAAGCCCAAAUUAAACUCGCCGAGUGAACAUGUAAAGGUGGUGCAAGCAAAGCAACCUGGAAGCACUAGCUAAGAACCCUACAGUAAAAUUCAAACAUCAAAGAAUAAGGCUUUUUCAACUUUUUUGAAUUUUAAACCGCGCCUCGACCCCCGCGCGCGGUUUGCACGUGGCCGAUUGACACCACAUCUUUGGAACUACCCUAGCCAUCAACUCGGACGAGAGAUGCUGAUCAUGCGGUCCCAUUUGUUAACAGUCAAGUUGUAGCAACAGUCAACUCCAAAAAAAAAAAAUACUAACAUAUUGUUGCGUCUGCUCCCCCCCCUCAUCCCUGAAGAUGAAACGAAGUGUCGACGAGCAGCAAAGUCGGCGGUUUGUGCGUACUUGCAGGGUGAUGCAUUGAUUGAUAACCUAACAAUAUAGAAAUUAAAAAUUCUAGUAUUUGCCGAUGCACAGAGAGAGCUAGCUCAGGUAACGGUCGCUCGGCUAUGCCACUGACACGCGGGCCCAGCACGAGGGCUAGGGAAUCAAAAGAAUAAUUGGCGGGCAUUGAAGCUGACAUGCGAUGAUGCGAGCCCCCACAAUGAUGACGCACCUGCCGACGCCCUGAGCAGGCACUGCUCGGGGCAUCAAGCAUCAUCGUACAAGAUGGAUCACUAUUAUAUCCUACGGAUUGAGAACCGGCAUGUGGCGGUUUUAACAUGGUAGGUGGACUUUUUUGCAUUACGAUUUUUUUUAAUCGUUCACAAACAAACCGUAUAUGUAUAUUCUUAUUCCUCUGCAAUCAAGAGAAUACAUCCUGACCCUGUGGGCCCCGGCAGACAGCUGGUUAAAAGAAUAGAUCAGACUAAGGUCAGGUUAGAUUGAGUGCAAGCCAAUGCAUGUCGUAUGGUAGAAGCUGCUGGCUGGCUCCAAGAACUUGAGUGUAAUCAGCAGCAGGACAAAGCGUAGAUGGGUUGCAGCGGCAUCGAUCGGUUCUGCUGCUGUUUGCCAAAGCAUUGUGAAAGCUGAGGAUUGGUAUCCCUCCCUUCCUCCCCGUAACUACCAACAGUUGGGUUCACACAGUUCCUGGCAAGAGCUGAAUUAUCUGUCGGCAUUUCGAUGUCUACUUUGUGCCCUUGUGGCGGUGGCAAUAAAGAGCGGUACUCUUUUUUCCGUCUGUCUUUGUAGAAGAAGAUGAGAACCGGGCAAAAAGCUCUGUUCUGGAGCCUCUGACUGUGGAGGUUGCUCAAACCAUGCAGUGGCAUUCUCCUGUGAAGAUUAUUGAAAAUUACCGGUCAUUGGUUGAUUGGUUGGAUACCAUUUUCCUCUCUUCAUUCCGGAGAAUCUCGUAACACGAAUCAAAAUCCAGACGCCACACUCUAAUGCUACACUGAUCUGAUUGGACGGUUCAUGGAGUUCACGCGUUAUCCUCUUAUCCCUGUCUAACGAGCACAUCACCUUGCUUGGCCGAAAUGGAUGUGGGAUCUUUACAUUUAUUUUCUUUAAAAAAUUAUUAAGAAUUUCUUUUACAUUAGAAAAAAAAUACGCCGGCCAAAAAUUCAAAGGUACAGUGGGGGCACAAUCAUAUCCACAUGCUCAUAUGCAAAGGAAUAUUGUUCAGAUAGAAUCAUCACCAUUGCAGCAGCCAGUCUGCAGGGCACAAACAAAUCCCCAUUGCUCAUGAACAAUAAACAAAGUUGCACUGGUUACCACUGCUAAACUUUACAUAUCACCAAGCAUUAGCCUUACAAAAACCGGUUAUUGGCUAGCCAUCUUUUUACAUGUAAUUACCAGCCUCCAUUACAGACAUACGACUCCACUCUCCAUCCACCCAUUUCACCAACAA